rnacentral:lncRNA from 1 species
ACCAAAUCGAUCAACACACAUAUAUAUAUAUACAUCAAAAUCAACACACAUAUAUAUGUAUACUCAAAAUCUAUCAAUUUUAAUCACACUCAAAAUCGAUCAAUAACUCAAAUAAAACUCAAAAUCAACAUAUAUACACAUGUACGUACCUAUAUAUAGCUCCACUUCUUAAUAAUGGACAGAUUUCAACAACACCCAAACUUUUUCUCCCGUUUUUUCUUCUCCCGUUUUCUUUUCUCAGAUGAGCUGCUGUCCAGAUCUGCGAAUAUAAAGAACUUUAGCCGACGAAAUUAAAAUUUCGUCGGCUAAAGAAAGUUUAAAGUCGUCGGCUAAAGUCACAAUUUCGUCGGCUAAAGUUGACUUUAGCCGACGAAAAUAUAAUUUAGCCGACGAAGGAAAAUUUCGUCAGCUAAAGUGUACUUUAGCCGACGAAAAAUUGUUUCGUCGGCCUGUUUUUUUUUUUUCGUCGGCUAAAGUCUUUCUUCUGGUAGUGACAAUGGCUUGGAAAUGUCUCUCGAAACAAGGGUUGUCCUCAUUAUGUGGGAGACGUCUGCUGUGUACACAGUACCUCAUGUACUGCUCUUGUUUUUAGACGACGUCCACUGAGAUUGAUGUGGUGAAAUUAUGACUUUUUACUCUUGAUAUGAAGCACGCGCCAAGCGCGCGUCUCGUGUGUGUAAUUUACAUCCCACCGAAUACACCAUCGAAGGACAUAAAAAAAGAUUGAGAGUAGUUUUUUUUUUUUUUUUUUUGGUCUGAUGGUUUAAGAGAGAGUAAUGGUUUGGAUUUAGGGUUCAUAUAAUAUCCUUUCUCUGCUCUUCUGUAGAGAGAAGCUACUACCCUUCCACCGAUUUCUGCAUUUUCCGGCACUGUUUUGGGUCGAUUGAUGCAAGGUUUUCAUCUACUCUUCGAGCUCUACCCAUUGGUAUCGAUACAUGUUGGAUUCGAUUGGAUUUUAACAAGUUCAUGUUUUUCUGGGUUUCUGGGAUUUCGGCUUUGGCUUGGUUUGUGAUUCCGGCGACUUUUCCGGUAAUUUUGGGAAGGUUAUCUAGUAAAGGACGACUCAGUUCUCCAUCUCGAAGGUCAUGGAGGGUGACGGCAUAAGAAGGUUAUCCCAGAUGAUUAUCUCUCUCCAAAUGAUUUCUGUUUGGAUCCUUUCUGAUUUUUCCCUCAAUAAUACAAGAUCGGGUAUUACCCAAUUCAAGCUUCAAGAAAAUAAUCUUAGCAAUCAAGUUACCCUCCUCGAUUCAGUUGGAUUGCGAUGAAAAAAUUACUGGAGGUCACGCAGCUCACACGCUAACGGGGAUGACGGAGAUUGACGGAGAGUUAACUUGCACGGGCCAAUUACAGCUUGACACAUACUCCCGACAACCAAAGUAUUCAAUGUACUGCAUACAUUCCAGAACUCACCCAUUAUGUGAUGUAGGAAAAACUUUAGGGUCAAGUGCGUCGCCCGCUAAAGGCAAGCUAGGCAUGUUGGCUGGAAUCUUAUGAAUCUUAUUUAGAGCACAUGAGAGCCACUUUAAUCAUGGUCAUCAUCUCAACAGUAACAAAUUCCCCCACCUCGCAUCCAGUGCUUUCAACAAUCUUCGUUCAUCACGAAGACAGUGUGCCCAAUCAAUGAGAUAAACACCGUAUUUAUUUGUUGGGUUACUGCUCUUUCUCUGUCUACUGAUAAUUUCAAGCACAACAAUCCUGAAACUAUAGACUUCAGCUUUGUUCGUGAGAUGGCCGCACAAUGCAUGUUCUGGGGUCAUAUACCCAUAAGUUAUGUUGGUUUUCGUGGACAUAUGAGUCUUAUAUCCUUCAACCAGUUUGGCCAACCCAAAAUCUGAUAUUUUCGAAAGGAAGUUUUGGUACCUCCGUGUACAAUCUUUAUUCUUGAUUCCUCAUGGAGGUAGGCCAAAACAAUAAACCAAUUAAUGAAAUCAUAGACACUACCACAAUAUGAAGCAAAGGCCACACAUCUUGUGUGGGCAAUAGAGGUGUUGCAAUUUCCUAUAAGUGUGGCAAAUGAGGGUAUUAGUGAAGAAUGAAAGAAAAUUGCCACAUAUAUGAGAUUCUAUGGGAUUGCAACACCCCUAUUGCUCACAUAAGAUGUGUGGCCAUUGUGGUAGUGAGAAUUAAUGCAAGAGAGGGAGGAGGGGGGGGGGGGGGGGGGGGGGGUGGGGAACAUAAAACCUAAACCCCAUAUGAUGAGAAGCUUGAGAAAAAUCCUGAAAUGAUAUCAGGAGACUCCACAAAUCUGAUAUAUCUGCCACACACAAUUGAGCUAAAAGUGCAUCAUUGACUAUUCUAUAUGUUUUGGGGACAUACUAGAAAUAUAAUGCUCACGCGGAGCUGUAAAAGUCUAUUAAAAACAACUUUCCAACUAUUUUUGUCACCGAAUAGUUAAUUUGUUGACAAUUGGUUUCAUUCUGUCACUAGAAGGCAACGAUCACUUGAUGAAGUUCUAGCUAUUGUGCAAAGUAAUUGCAUAGUCACUUCUAAGGUCAGUACAUACUAUUUUUUUUUUUUUUUUUCUAAGCAAGCAACAACAUAUUACUCAUCUUGAAUUUCAGCAAAGAUCGACAGUCCUUAACUUUGCAACAUUUUCAUUUGCUGAGUUCUUUUGUAGGGCUUAUAUUUCAUAAGCCAAGUAAAAUAGUAUCGUAACCUCUAGGAUUUUUAACAAAGAUACCCCAACGUUAAUACUUCUACAUAUCUAGACUGAUUCUAAUUUUAUAGCUCUAUAGUGUAAAAAGUGACUAUGCUACUAGUACUAUCUACAUUCAUCGUCUUCAUUCAAAAAUUAAUGAUGAUACCAACUGAAGUAUCUAUCAUAAAUCUUCCAGAAUCCUCCAGUAUUAUCCAUUGAUCUUCAGUAGUUCCAGCCAUCUAUGGGUUCUCAUCCUACCUCCUUAAGCCAAAAAAAGGUUUAACCGUAGCAUUUACAUCAAAAUCCUAGUUUGAUGGUGAAGACUGAAAAACUGAGGUGUCUUGCUUAAUUUCUGCCAUACUAAGUAAAGAUGGGUAUGGAACACCUGCUUGUGGCUGAAUACUAAGUAAAGAUGGGUAUGGAACACCUACUUGUGGCUGAAUAGCAAAUGAUGCAACAAUAGGUGUUUGCAUGAAACAGAGGGAAUCACAAUUUGGAAUGUUGUACGAAAAAGAGGGACUGGCAGAAGAUGGUGACAAGCCAGGAACUGGGGCUUGAAGAACUAUCAGAGACGCCGACAGAUUAAACUUAUUCCCAUGACUAGGUGAUGUGAACUCCCUUCCUGCAACUUGUGGUGAACUCCCUUUCUCCCUUACCAGCUUCCAGAUGAUAUCAUCUUCUGUAUCGACAAAUUCAGUUGCCUUUAUUGUUUUUCCACAUAUGUCUACCUACAGGUCUCUUAUAUUGUUGUCAGAUGAACAUCCUCUGGUAAGGAACUCCAUAACCUUUGAAUUGCAAUAUUCCAUCUCAUCAACCUAAAAUUUCAGACAGAAUGCUGACAUGUCUUUUUACAUGAGUGAGAGUUUAUGUAGAUCUUUAUUCCGUAGAAACGCGGAUAUCUGGCAAACAAGUCAUAUAUAGCCGUGUAACUUUGGAGGUAGCCUUGAAGUUCAUUCAAGGUAUCCUUGAAGGAGAAAGAGAAAUGAUAGGCAGAGUUCAACUUUUUCCUUGAUUUUCCUUCCUCCUUUUCUUGCAUCUGCUAGUAAGGCAUUUCUUGCAACUGCUAGUAAGGCCUUACUUUCAUUUACUUUUACUAGUAAGACCUUCUGUGAUUCAAUGACAAUGUCUCCCAGUGGUGUUGUUGCAACAAUUUCACUCUCUUCAAUUUGUGUUUUAGCUUUUUUGUUCUCUGCCUCAGCCUCUUUAUUUUUACUGCUGCAUAGUUUUCUGAUUAUGAUCUCAUGUGUCUUCAUCGUAUUGUCAUGUGUUUUGAUGCUCAUCAAGAUAUUUAUCUUCUCCAUGAGAACCUCAAUUUCAUCAUUGAGCUUUCCGAGCUUCCUUCCAAACCUAACCCCCCACCACCUUUUGCAAAACAUGAUCCCCAAACUCGAUAAUUCAACCAACUCACCUUUUUCAUCUCAUCAAGGAGCUCUAUGCAGGGCCAGUCUUGGCGCAGUGUAGCCCGUGCGACGGCAGAGGGCCGCAAGACAAAGAAGGCACCAAACCGUUGAUCAGCUAGCCCAUUUAUUAAUAGUUUAACAUGAUAUAUGUUGAGGAACUAAACACAUUUAUACAUGGGGUCCUUAUACAUCUCAAUAUCUCUCAUGCUUCCAUGUUUUCUAGUUCUUCUCUCUCUCACACGUGUUUCGAGAGGAAGAAAAAAAAGCUCUCACACACACCAAAACAACAAAAAAUGUCAUCCAUUAUGGGAGUCAACCUCUCAUCUUUCAAUUCUUCUCUUCUGUUUUCUUACCUUUUUUUUUUUUUACUAAUCCUCUCUACUGAAGCUUUUGUAUGUCAAGCUUGAUCUUGAAGUAAAAGAAAAAUAUUUAUUUAAUAAUGAAUUAUGUACCCUAAUUGACUAGAAUUUCACUAUUAUUUUUGUUGGAAAGUCGUCUAGUAUUUCUCUUUUAGGAUAUUUAAAAGGGUGGUGUUAUUAACACACCAUAGUUUACUAUUCACAUGCUCCCUUCAUGAUGUGAGUUAAUUAUAAAAGGACUAAUUUCAGUUUACCCCCAUCAACUUUAGGUCGAUCAUCAUGUUAGUCCAUUUUCUUUCAAUUUCAUCAAAACACCCCUCGACUUCUAAUUUUCAACAGCCGUGUCCAAACAUCUGUUUUCCAUCCAAUUCUCCCGUCAUGUGAUGACUUGCAUUAAGAAGAAAACCAAAUUUGAUGUCGUUGGGCCCACAAAAAAAUGCAAAAUAGACAAAUUGCAUUGACAUUAGUUAUUUUCUAGUUUAAGGGUGAUUGAGCCCCAAAUAAAAAGCUUUCAAAUUAGUUUGCCACCGAAUAGUUGAUUCGGUGACACUUGGUUUCAUUCUACCAGUAGGAGGCAACGACAUUUGAUGAAGUUUUAACUAUUGUGCAACGUAAUUUUCAUAGUCACUUCUAAAUUCAAUACAUACUACUUUAUAUAUGUGUAUAUAGUAUAAAUAUUCUCUACGUAUAAAUUUUUUAACUACAUAUAUAUAGAUUUAUCUCAAAAAUGCUUGACACUUGUAGAAAUAAAUCUAUUUGAUUGAUUCUCAUAGUUGUUGCGUCGACGUUCCGUAAAGAUAUUGUAUAUGGUAUUGAGAUGUUGAUGAUGCACUCAGUUUGCAUCUAAAUGAUGUAAAUUUACUACAUUAACAAUAAAGUUAUCACAUUUAUUUUAGACUCACUACCAGGACAAGCACUUUAGCCGACGAGCCUUCGUCGGCUAUAGUGUCGUCGGGAAAGGCUCGUCUGUGAUGACUUUAGCCGACGAAAUUUUUUUUUCGUCGGCUAUAGUCCCACAGUUAGCCGACGAAAAACAUGUCGUCGGUUUUUUUCCCAGACUUUAGCCGACGAAACAAUUAAUAUAUUCGUCGGCUAAAGUGUGUAAUAAAUAAUUAAAAAUAACUAUAGCCGACGAAAUUUACUAUAUUUCGUCGGGCUAAACCUUNAAAAAAUUUUAAAAAAUAACUAUAGCCGACGAAAUAUUUUAUAUUUCGUCGGGCUAAACCUUAUAAAAAAUUUAAAAAAAUAACUAUAGCCAACGAAAUAUUUUAUAUUUCGUCGGCUAAACCUUAUAAAAAUUUUAAAAAAUUAACUAUAGCCGACGAAACAUGCCAUAAUUCGUCGGCUAAACCUUAUAAAAAAAUUAAAAAUACUAUAGCCGACGAAUAUAGUGUUUAAAUAUCGUCGGCUAAAAUUGCUGGGUUUUGAAAAAAAAACUAGCAGAAAACUUUCGGCCACCUCCAAUCACGACCAAAAUUNNNNNNNNNNNNNNNNNNNNAAGCUCAAUUCUAAGCCUAAACAUGUCAAUCGACUCAAAAUAUAAAAAUCCCCAAUUUUAAACCCUAAAAACUUCAAAUCUUCGAUUCUCUUCACACACAUCGAAUCGAGCUACCAAAUUCUAGGGGAAUGUAAUACUAAUCAAACUCAACUUAUCCAUAUAUAGAACUCACCAAAUGGUGACCUAAGGAAUGAGAAAUUUGAUCGACACCGAAUCCGAACCGGCGGAGUUUUGGAGCUCGAUUUAUCCCUCACGGCGGCGCCACUCGAUGCACCACCUAUCCAGCAAUGAAGUAGAAACGACGGCGAAGCUUUUGGGACAAGUGUGACGGUCUCCGGUGGCUUGACGGCGGAGCUAGGCCGAGAAGAAAAUCUGGCAGAUAAUAGACUUCUACCAUCCAUCUUCGCCUAUAUAAAGAACUUUAGCCGACGAAAUUCUUUAUUUUCGUCGGCUAAACUCUUUUGAAAAUUUUGGUUGACCGCCAAAAAAUUUUGGUUGAAAAUUUUGAAAAUUUUGAAAAUUUUUCGACUUUAGCCGACGACUUUUCAUAUAUUUUCGUCGGCUAAAGUCCUUUGAAAAUUUUCCUCCAACUUUGGUUUACCGCCUAAAAAAUUUUGAAAUUUUUUGACCUUAGCCGACGACUUUUCAUAUAUUUUCGUCGGCUAAAGUCUAUAAAUUCACGAAAACGCUCAUAUCUCCCCCUAUAUUACGUAAUUUGGUCAAACCUUCCACACCAAAAACUCUUACAUAGAUGAGACGCAACUGCCCAUAUAAAAAUUUUGAGACAUUUACCUUCCGACGAUAGGGCUCCCCAUAAGGAAUAAUAACGGUAAAUAGGGUUGACCGCUACUAUCGGCUCCGAGACUUUACCCGAUUUACGUGAUUUUUGAACCAUAGCCGUAUUUCACCAUUUUGAACACAUCUUAUUUCACGAGAUUUUUCAUAAUUUUGCUUCCUAUGUAGAGUUGGUUCACAAAGUUGUAUAACCUACUAAACAAGUUAUACAACAUUAGUAGACACGUUGUGAUUCCGAUGACUAAAAUUCACAAACCAAAAUUCGACCGUCAGAUAUGAUCAUUAUGACGAAAUAUUUCUAUGGUAAAAAAUUCAACUGGAUCCGACAACGUUAAGGGCUCGAUCGAAACGGUCAACCAUAAUCCAUCGUCACUUGUCACACGAAAACGCUCAUAUCUCCCUCUAUAUUACGUAGUUUGGUCAAACCUUCCACACAAAAAACUCUCAUGUAAAUGAGACAAAACUGCCCAUAUAAAAAUUUUGAGACAUUUACCUUCCGACGAUAGGGCUCCCCAUAAACCCGAAUAACGGUAAAUAGUAGACACGUUGUGAUUCCGAUGACUAAAAUUCACAAACCAAAAUUCGACCGUCAGAUAUGAUCAUUAUGACGAAAGAUGUCUUUGGUAAAAAAUUCAACUGGAUCCGACAACGUUAAGGGCUCGAUCGAAAGGGUCAACUCUAAUCGAAAAUAAGAAAACUGCAUUUUGAAGCCCUAAACGGACUCAGAUGGCCAAAAAAGCCUAUACAUCAUGGCAUUAGGGAUGAGUCUGACUCGUAGCGCCGUUACGCUUCCGAAAAGGUAUCACAAUAGUCAAUCAGACACCAAACGCCAAAUCUGCAGCAUAGUGAAUAAUAAUAAGGGUAAGUCAACUAUCGGCACCGAGACUUUACCGGAAUACUAUGAUUUUUCAACCGUAGACGUAUUUCACCGUUCUGGUCAUAUCUUAUUUCACGACUUUUUUACGUUUGAAGGUUCUACGUAUAGUUUUUUUUUCUUAGAUGAGUUGUUGUCUAGAUCUGUAAAUAUAAGGCACUUUAGCCGACGAAAUUAUAUUUUUUCGUCGGCUAAACUUUUAAAAAUUUCGUCGGCUAAAGUUUAAAAAUUUCGUCGGCUAAAGUCCACUUUAGCCGACNNNNNNNNNNNNNNNNNNNNAAAAAAAAUUUCGUCGGCCUUGGUUUUUUAUUUUCGUCGGCUAAAGCCUUUCUUCUGGUAGUGACUAUUUUCAUAUAACUGAACCAAAUUAUUACAUUCACAACGAUGUCUUGUAAAUUUGUGUCGUAUGCAAGUAGUCUAAAAUCCCUCUACAUCAGUGAUUUGCAUAAUUUGCAUAGUCACACAACUUCAAACUAAAUACUAAAAGGUUGGAUGAAAAGUGUAAACUACUUCCUGCCCUUAUGAAAAGUGUAAACUACUUCCUGCCCUAAACCCUUAUGGUGGCAAAUCUCGUGUGGUUUGCUUGCUCUACAUGGUUGCCACUAAUAACUGAACCGGCGAUUAACCAUGAAGGCUAGCUCGGGACUAACACAAUGAUGCGGAACCUAUAUGGUGUCGUGCCAACUCAAUGUAUUCUUUUUGGUCUAGCAUGAUCACAAAUUCACAAUUGCUUUGAUUGCAUACGAUCUACAUUAGUGUUUAGGCACAUAUCACACAUCCACAAACGUACAUUGGGAAGGAAAAUCUAAUAUUUAAACUUAGUUAAGCUUUAUCAUGGAGUUGGUUGUUUUCUCAUACCGCUUACCACUACAUGUUGUCAAUGUUUCAGAAUUUGAGUAUGUAGUUGGCAAACAGAUAUGGCCAGGACCCAGGUAUAAAUAUAUAUGCUAGCUGUAGCAGCAGGUUCUAGCUGCAGCAACUACUUUCCUGCCAUGUAAAUUGCCGACACUUGGAUACUUGAGAGAAGUUGGAGUACCUAGACGCCAACGGACCGGCCAGCCAUUUCUGAUUCCAUAUAUAACUAGCAUUGCUUUUGCGUACCUAGCCAUUUCUGAUCUCAAAAUAGAAUCUAGCUUGCAUUGUUCAUUAUUUGGACUUUAGGAGUUGUAACUUCGAAGCCAGAAUGAAGAAGAUCUGCAAGCAGAAAAACAAUAGUUCUGCAAGUGUACACAGAAUGACAUGUCAUGGAUAUGCACUUGGUUAUUACGCAGUAACAGACAUGUUUACUUACAGGCACGCCUAGGUUGUUCUACUAAUGCCCUAUACAUGCAAAAUGAAAACCUAACCGUGAAAUGCUUUCACCAAUUAGUCUGAUUCCACUGCAACUAAUCGCACAGCCAAUUACUAAACAUGUCUGUCAAAGACAAUGGACAAUGCAUGCCAAAUCUGAGCUCUGAAGAAAAAGAAAAACUUGAUCAAGAACGAUGUUGGUAAAGAGAAGAAAUGGAGCGGCAGAUAGACAAUAUAAAGGGGCGCCACAUUGAACUUAUGUUUGAUUUCCUUAGAUAGACGAUGCUAAUGAUAGUAAAAUUAGCUUAUGUAAGAAUGAGUCCGUGUAUACAGCAUGGUAGUAGAAUUAUAUGUCACCCUGAGUAUCCUAACCUCCACACCAUAAUUGUACAUACAGAUGUUUAUGUCACUGACAUCUACAUUAACUAGUAUUAAAAGAUGAGUUUGUUAGAGUGGAACCCUUCCCCUACUUGUCCUUUCGAGUAGCGAACUCACCCUAUAUAACCUCUACAUGUCUCAUCUUGUUUCCUGGUUAUCUACUAUAUCAGCAGAAGUAAUGAGAAAGUACCAGCAAAACAUGAUUUAGAUGAAUAAACCCUUUUUUUUUUUUUUGGGUUAAAUAAACGAGUAUAUUAAAAGAAAAAAAGGAGGGCGAGCCCAGUACAACCGAAGCCAAAGGCAAAAAAGCUACAGAACAACAGAAACCAAGCUAACCAAAGGAAAGCAAACAAAACAUGAAAAAAGAACAAAGAAAGAAAUGACUAAGAGGCAUCUAAGCUCCACUUUCUAGCAACACAAUCUUUGCCCAAUCAACAACAGGAUGAUGAAUCCAAAUCUGAUCCAUCGUAGAAGCUGUAGAGAAAAUUCCAGAAGUAGAAGGUAACCAAAUACAAGAAUCCUUGCAACUUGAAUUUGGAAUAAGACCUUCUACAUUACUUGCAACUCUAAGAAUGGCAGAAUUAGUAGAAAGAGGCCAACACCAAGACUCACCCUUCACAAUAGAACUAACCAAGGCAUUGGAAGGAAUACCAGAAUUAAUCAUAGCACCAGGCCCCAACCUAGGCAGCAAAGGGCCAAAAGGGUGCCAAUAAUCAUGCCAAAAAUAAGUAGACUUUCCAUCACCAAUAAUAUGCUUAAUAGAAGGACGAAUAAAAUCACGAAUCUUCAACAACUUCCUCCAAUUCCAGGAGCAAAUUUGGGGUGUAGACACCAUCCAAAAGCUUUUAUCUCUCAAGAAAUUAACUUUGAUCCAAGAAGACCAAAGACUAGAAUCAUCUGUCAAAAGAAUCCGAAUGUGCCUCGCCAUUAGAGCCUUGUUCCAGAUGUGAAGACUUUUGAUUCCCAGACCUCCCUCACUUGUAGGAGCACAAACAACCUCCCAAGCCACUUUUGAAGAAUAAUGGCUUGUACAACUUCUAGACCACAAAAAACAUCUUAUAUUCUGCUCAAUUAACAUAUGGAUCUUUUUCAACAAAAAGAGAUGAGAAGCCCAAAACACCUGCAAACUACAUAAAACAGAUUUGACAAGUUGCAGACGACCGGCAUAAGAGAGCAGCUUAUUCUCCCAACUUUGAAUUCUUGAAACCACCCGUUCUACCAAAGGCGAACAAUCACUUAAGGAAAGUUUUGUGCUAAUAAGAGGGAUUCCAAGUUACUUAAAAGGAGUGGAGCCCAUUGGAAAGCCAAAACAAUUUCUAAUAUGAGAGGCUUCAUCAACUUGAACACCCGAGAGAUAAAUGUUGCUCUUAUUCGCAUUUGCAGCCAGACCUGAGAGACCAUAGAAUGAAUUUAAGGUCUCCUUUAACACCCGAGCAAUUGAUAAUCACCACCACAAAAUAAGAAGAGGUCAUCAGCAAAAGCUAAAUGUGCAAGCUUGAUAGAUUCACAUCUCCAGUGGUACCUAAAGGCAGGAAGAGCUUGAAUUUUCUUAUGUAAAAGCCUAGAAAGAACCUCCAUAGCAAUAACAAAAAGAUAAAGAGAGAGAGGGUCUCCUUGUCUCAAUCCGCGAUUACUAGGAAAGAAACUAGCUAGCUCACCAUUGAUGGCUACAGAGAAACUUGGGCUAGUGAUGCAACAUCUUAUCCAACUAACCAAAGAGGCUGGGAAAUUGAAAGCCAAAAGAGCAUGAAGAAUGAAAUCCCAAUCAACUGUGUCAUAAGCCUUCAAAAUAUCCACUUUAAUAGCACAUCUCGGUGGACCCAGGUUCCUAUGAUAAUUUUUAAGCAGCUCCUGCAACAAUAAGACGUUAUCACCAAUUCUCCUUCCAGCAAUAAAGGCUGAUUGAGAUUGGCUAAUAAUAGAAGGUAAGCAAGACUUCAGCCGAUUAGCCAACAACUUGGAUAUAAUCUUAUAAAUUGUAUUACAGCAAGAGAUGGGCCUAAAAUCACUCAUGGAAGCUGGGUUGCAUACUUUAGGAACCAACAUAAUAAUAGUAGCAUUGAACUCUUGGAGCAACCUGUGAGAACAUAGAAACUCCUGGACAGCUUUAAUAAUAUCACACCCAAUGAUAUGCCAAGUCUUUUUAAAAAAGAAGGCAUUAAAACCAUCAGGACCAGGCGCUUUGUUAGAAUGAAGACCAAAGCAAACAUCUUUAAUCUCAUUAUCAGAAAAAGCACAACCAAGAGCAGAUGAUUGUCCAGAAGUAAGAGGAUUAUCAAUAAUAUUCUGAAGCUCACCAAAGUUUGGCCUAGGAGAGGACCUAGAGCCAUCAAAUAAAGAUUGGAAGAACCCAACAGCUUCUACUUUGAUAUCCUCAUCAGAGCUAGCAACAGACCCAUCCCCACGGCAGAUGGAGUUAAUUCGGUUCCUGUGACGUCUCUUAUUGACCACUUUAAAGAAAUAGGAUGUACACCUGUCACCCGAAGAGAGCCAUUGAACCCUAGAUUUUUGCCUAAAGAAACUUUCCUCACAGAGAAAGACAUUAGAGUAAGCCUGCAACAAGUCUCGCUCAGUUUGUCUGAGAAGAGGAUCAUUAGGAUUAGAAUACAAGUUCCUCUGGCAAACAUCAAGAGCAUCCUUAGUAGUAGUGACAUUGACAGAUACAUCUUGAAUUUUCACACGAUUAAGCUUUUUAAGCUCAGCCUUAAUUAAUUUGAGCUUCUUAGCAACCUGAUAUUGAUAGGAUCCGACAACAACAGUGUUCCAAGCUGCCAAGACAAUAGGAAAGAACUCUUCCCUCUCAGCAAAGUAGUUGAAAAACUUGAAAGAAGGCUUUCUACCCUGAACUGGACUUCCAAGAGAAACAAGAGCAGGAGAAUGAUCUGAGAUACCAUGAGGCAGAAACUUAACUACACAAUUAGAAAAUUUGGAUAACCAAGCAUUAUUUCCCAUAACUCUAUCCAACUUCCUGUGAAUCAGCAUACCAUCAUAAUGCUUGUUGCACCAAGUAAGUUUACAACCAGAAUAAUUAAGAUCCUCAAGUUCAGUAACGUGGAUGCAAGAAGCAAACUCAUCCAUAGCAUUUGUCCUGACCUCAUUUCCCCCAUUUAUUUCUGUAGUAAAUCUCACAACAUUAAAAUCUCACAAAACAAGCCAAGGAACAUGCCCAUAGCUAUUAGAAAAAGAGGAUAAAUUAUUCCAUAGAAGAGAACGUUCGUUAUCAUCAUUGGCACCAUAUACAAAGGAGACAAGAAACUCCUCAUUACUAUCAAGAAUAAGAACUCUACAAUGAACCACUUGGUCUGCCUCAUCAAUCACCGACACUUUAAUGAUAGAGGGAUCCCAACCCACCCAAAUUCUCCCAAGGUGAUGGCUGGAAUAGUUAUGAAAGUAAUCCCAAUCUCCAAACACAGAACGAGUAAUUGAGUUACAACCAGAAGCUUGGACUCUAGUUUCAACUAACCCAACAAGACAUAACUUAUGAGAAACAAUAAAACUUUUCACACCCAACUGCUUAGGGUUACCAUUUAGGCCCCUAACAUUCCAACAAGCAAGAUUAAUCAUGAGAACCAGGAGAGAUUAGUACCCGGGUAGAAGCUUUACCCUUACCACGACUCUUGCGAUUAACCUUCUUUUUAGUAGGGACUUUUUUAUCAGGAAGCUGCUCAACAUUCUUCCGCUUAAUUUCCAUGGGACACUGAGAGUAAUCAAGCGAAGCAAUAUUAACCAAAUCUGCCAGAAGAACAUCAUCCUUCAAGUCCAGAGAGGCAAAAGUAUUGCUAGUGCCAACACCACCAAUAGAAGGGGCAGGAGUAAGUUGAACAGAAUUGGAGGCAGUACGCUUAGGGAUAUCAAAACUUCCCUUAUCAACUUGGUCAUCAGAGACACGACCUGAUAAGACCGUAUUGGAAUUAGAAUCAACAACUUGGUCACUCUGGCCAUCACUCCCCACCACACCAUUGAGAGUACCAUUAUGAGUUGGAGCUACAACAACACUAUUCUUAGACCUGUUCUCAGAACUUAAAGGCAAACUUGCGACACGUUGAGGGCCCUGACUUUUCUCAGCCAAGGGUCGAGAGUGAGGGCACGAUGCCUCAGCAUGCCCGAAGACUUUGCAUUUUAAGCACAUCUUAGGCCUCCACUGAUACUCCACUCUAAUCUCAACAUUUUAUUCACAAUAUAUAUACCUCUUUAAAUAGAAGAUUCAUUUCAGGAGUUAUGAUUGGUAUGUGAGUUUGGCCUUAUUUCAUUGGAAGAAAUUCAAUGGUUCAGAAAAUGUCAUGUACAAUCAGAAAAUUCACUUUCUUUCCAAGUUCCAACAAUGAAGUUCUGCAUAUUAUUGCAGUCAAGAUUGGUAUUGGUUGGUGUGAACAAGAAUUGGACUUCUAACGUUAUGAGUUCCAUCAGACUAAACCAACAAUGCCGUCCUCCUCCAACAACUGUCACAUCAAAUGAUCAAAAGGCUUCUCCUCACUCAAAGACUUGAAAGAAAGAGCUUCAGGCACAACCUUGAUGUCCACUUGUGUGGAGUCUGCGAAGAUUCUGGCUUUGUAGGUGGAGUUUGCAAGGCCAACGUUCAUAACUAUUCUGUGAAAUUUAAUAAAAAUGCUUGCUUUGGUGAAACAACAGCUGCUAGUGAAGGGUAAUUGUAAUCCACUGGCGAGUCUUUAUCCAAGUGUAGAGCAAGUGCUGUUAUCUCCUGAUAUAAGUCUAACCUCGGCCUCUCCAAGACCGAGCAGAGUGUUGGGUUAUGCGGAAGAAUAAACUGUAGAAUGGAAUCAGAACUCACAACCACAAAUGUAAAAUGUAGCGGAAAGAAAAUGAUAAAGAACACCGGGUAUUAACGUGGUUCGGCAAAAUACCUACGUCCACGGGGCAACAACAACAAAGAACCUCCACUAUUCGAAUAAAGGUUACACGGAGAGAAACACUACUUCAAGACUCACUCUUGAAGGGAUACACUCUCACACACACUUUGUUUUGUUACACACACAAACUCUCAACUUGGAGUUUUCUCUCUAUCUCACACUCUUGUAUAGCACAAGGUGAACUCACCGGUUCUUCUAUAUCUUUUGCACCAUUGCAAAUGCCUCUAUAUAUAGGCAAAUAUAUGCAUGCAUUCUUCAUGCACUUCCCAUGCAAAUCCUUCACGUCCAUGCACAAGGAAGAGAAUUCAAAUUUCUUCCUUAAUUCAAGCUUUAAUGUUUGUAUGCACCAUCAAUGCAUCUCCAUCAUUUUGUCAAACUUUUCAGCCACCAACAAGCCUAUACAUAUAGGCUCUCUCUCUUGCAUUUCAACAUAUACACACUACCAACUUUGCUAUUCAUAUACUAUCUUGCCUCUUGGUUAAUUGAAUGGGUCUUGAGGCUUCACCGAAAAGGUUUUUCACAUGUAGUAAACUACAUGACAUCCUCCUCCAAAUAAGGAGGGAAAUUUGACCCAUCACAGAGCAGCUUCUUGUAAUCUUCUUUACAAGCUUCAUAAACCAGCCUCGGAUCUAUUACUUGGACAGGAUUGAUGUGUCCAGUAACAUAAGCAAAUUCACCCGGGGCAUCAUCCGUAACAUUCAUUGGCCAAGAUGUACUCAUAAGAGAUGAUUUGAUGGCUGCCGGGGACCAUUUAGGGUGGAAUGCUUUAGCAUAUGCAGCAGCACCUGCUGCAUGGAGGUUCCAGUAGAUACUAUGUUGUAGUUUACAUGCCUAGUUUCCCAAGGAUUCCCUGUCAUAGAAGCAAGAGGUAAAAAUGCAGCCAAAAUAUUUGUUCAGGUAAAAUUUUAUUUGGUCCGCGUGAAGAGAAGGAAAUAACAACUAGUGUAGCGUCAUCUCGAAUGGCUUCACUUCUUAAUAUGUUUGCUCGAGCAUCUUUAGUAAAGUUCAUAUAUGACUUUAUUGCAUCAUACUCAUGAGCCUCUAAAAUUAUCCCAGGUCUAGGUGGGUUUAAAAUUAAAUCUGCUGCUCCAGCUUCGUAAGCCACAUCACCUCCAAGGUUAGCAUCACAUAAAACAACCUUUCCCUUCACUAAAUAACUAUUCAGGCAAGAACUACUCAUCGCUUCAAACUCCGAGCAUUGACUUGAAGCAGCAGAUUCUCCACCAUAUAUUAAUGGAGAACUUGUUUCAUUUAGUAUGAAGGAGUUUAUUGAAACAAAUGUGCUUCCAUUUCCUAGAACAACUUUGUCAAUGAGCCGACCAUCUGUGCUACUUGCUGCAACUGUUAGCAACCAUGGUGCCACACUUGUUAUAGGACCAGCUCCAGGACCAUCAUGGCCUGCAGCGUUUGUUGUUAGUAUCCCUUUCUCGGUUGCAUGAAAAGCACCUAUUGCUAUCGGAUCUUUAUUCAAAUGUAGUGCAAGUAUGCCAGUAAGUGAAACCGUAAUGGUGUCAACUACAUCAGCCGUAGCAUCUUCAAGAGCACCCAGGAUAUCCUCUGAAUGGCACCAUUCACCAUUGCAGACUUAUAUGCCGCAAUUCUAGCAGAGGGAACUCCACCUCUUGCAGUACCUUGUGCUAAUCCACAAAAGCUCACAUUCUUUACCGUGUUCCCUCCUGCAGUGGAGGCAGUGUGGGUUCCAUGGCCUACGUCAUCCUUUGCACACUAUGGGUUCGUAAAACCAAGCUCCAAUGAUCUUGUUGUUGCAAGUGAAGUUACAAGCACCUUUCCACUUUUUUGGAGCCAGACCGAAAGUCUGAAACCUUCAUCUUUGAAGCUAUCCGAUUCAGGCCAAAUUCCAGUGUCAAGGACACCAAUGAUGAUAUCACUCUCUAGUCUCUACUGUGGCAUUUCGGUGGAUUUUCCCAUCAAGACUGAUGAAGUCCGAAAAUGUUGUUUGAAGGCGGAAAGCUGUGUUUGGAAAGACACAGACCACUUCCUUCAUGUUAGUAAUCUGUUUUCUUUCAAGGUCAGUGAGCUUCGCAGAAAAUCCAUUGAAACUCAUUUUGUACCUUCUUGUCAACCUAUUUGCACCCGAGCCAUUCCUGACAACUGUUUCUAGUAUCCAAAGGUGGUGAGACAAUGGUGAGUACAGUUUAUGAUCUGGAAGUGAGCCGAGGUACACUAUAUGUAGUUAUGUACCUUUCUGUUUUCAUCAAUGGCCUUGCAAACGAAGAACCUCAUGUUAAGCAUAAGCAUAAGAAUAAGAAAACCAAAGAGUCUUUAUUGGCCAUUGUUUCAUGCUCAGAAGCAUAAUCCAUGUAGAAGGCUUUAUAUUUUAUAAGGGGGACAUGAGAUAGUCUGAUAAGCUGAAUGGAUACUUUGAUUUUCAACAACUUUAUUUUCUUACCUCCUUUGCACCUGCAGUUGAUAUUAUUGCACAAUCCAUACAUAUUAAGAGAUCCAGAUAUCAUAUAAAUGUUGCAAAAUUCUAGAUUUGGGUUUGGUCAAUAACAAGCUGAAUACAUAUAUAGUGUGUAUAUAUAUAUAUAUAUAUAUAUAUAUAUAUAUUAUUUAUUUUUACUUAACGUUAAUUUUUAUUUUUUUUAAUUUUAAUUUUGGGGAACUUGUAUUAAUUGAAAGUUUGAAACCCAGAACAACCAAACACACAAGAAAGAAAAAAAAACUGAAAAAUCAGGUAAUGAAAAAGCUGAAUACAUAGCUGACUGGCUAUUACCAAAAAGGAAAAUUCUAUCAAUAGACCUCAAAUAUCAAUCUAAACAAGCAGUAUCCAUUUUUAUUAUGUUCAAUAUCAAUAUUGUCGGUGCAGAAAAAGUGUAUUAUGCAUAUUUAUAUACAUGAUAUCAUACAUAGCCUACACCGGAAGUUGCAUAUUAGCCAGGGUAACAUAAAAGAAGCGAGAAGUACAGAGCCGCUGGACAGAUCUUGAUAGAUAACUAGCAUUGUAAUUCAAAUGAUCUCAUACUGGGGUAUGCUAGUAUAAAGUGAACUAGUUUACAAUUAGGAGUUGUAACUUGGAAGCCACAUGGACAUGGAGUCCUGCAAGUAUAUUAAGAAUCUAUUGGCUUCAACAUAAUAGUCAAAUAAUGAAUAUGGUGCACUUGUGGUAAUCUAUUCUGAGCUUGGUUAAUUACUAGCAGUAAUAAAUCUAUACUUAAAGGCCACCUUGUUCAACUUGACUGGGAGUGUAAAAUGAGGAUAUAACGUCAAACGAUUUCACCAAGUCCAACCAUGGAUUGCCAAAAAAGAAUUGAGCUUUUGGAUAAUGAAAGGUGAGGAAAAAUUGCAUAUUUUGCAACGAAAUAAUGGUAGAGUUUAGAGAGUAUAGUGGGUAAUCAAAGGUGAGAAAGAGAUUAUCUGGUUUUAUAAUUUUGGAAUUGAACAAUGUAGUUUGAGAUUAGAAUUAGAGUGCGAUGAGAACUGGGUCUUGCAUGUAGGAGGUGGAGAGAGGGCCAUAUGUCUUGGUCAGGUUAAAACUAAAUGACAUAAGUGAAGAGCGCACCUCAAAGAUUAAUAGUAAUUAGAACAUUCUAGUUGUAGGCUUGUAGCUUAAGAAUGUGUGAUAUCACCCCUGUCAAAACAAGAAUUUGUAAUAUCCCAACUUUUUUGCAUGUAUGAAGGCAUAGGAGCAACCAACUCUAUGCUUUCUAGCCCUGAAAGAUCACACUCCGCAUGCAGUUUCACAUUUUGCAAAGCCAGAGACACAUUCGGCAAAACCAUUUGCUUAGAAUGAAGAUGUAAGCGCAGAUUCUUUUCGUCGAUACUUCCACUGUCCAUAUUGAGAUCAAAAGGAAGAUUUUUUCUUUUUGAACGCUCCUCAUUGGAAUGACAUUCAGUCUUAGACCAAGCAACAGGUUUCCAGUCCUUAUGUGUUCGCCAUCCAUAUUUGUAGUCUCCGACUAUUGGUGUUCCCAAAACUUCCGCACAGUGCACCCGCAGCUGUAGUUCCCAUAAAUGGCCAGAAGAGUUGUGCACAGAAAGCACAGUCAACAGUGACUCUAACUAAUGAAUAAAGCUGCAAUAAGAAAUCACUGCAAGUGUCUAGUUCUGAUGCAUACCUGGUGCUUUCGACCGGUAAGUGGAAUCAGCUCUAACCAUGUGAAACCUGAAUAUUCAGUAGAAUAUCAGAGACAUGACAGGGUAGUAUUAAUUAUUGGAGAAUUUGUAAUAGGAUAUCAAAAGAAGCUAACAGUGGAGUGCCAAAUUAUUCUUGUUAAACUAGAUUGGGCCAGGUAUUGAAACUACAACCGAAACAGAUAUCUCAUGGCAAAACAAUUACCCAGACAGCCUUCUAAAUAGUAAAUUUGACACAUCAUGCAAGACAAUAGAGUUUGUUGCUAACCAGGACAUGAUGAUCCAAUCACUUUGUACUUUGUGAUUGCAUGUUGAGACGGCAAACAUUGUGCUUUAUUCAAAAUGGUGAUCCUAUCUGAUUUACCAUUGUCAACCACCACCUGAAAGAUUUCAUAGCACCAACAUAUCAUAAACUUCAGCAAAUUUGAGCUAAUUAGUCUGUAAUCUGGAACAUUUUACAGUUUUGGUACAUAUAUUUAGCAAUUUUAGUCAAAUUUGGUAUGAAUCAUUACUAAAAUUUAAGAGCUAGUAGACUGCAAUAUAAAUUGCCAACUACAAACUACUCAGCAAAUGGAAUGGCCAGAGGUACAGGAACCAAAAAUGUAAUUUAGCUGUAUAUUUAUAGACAUUUGUGCAUUAGUAUAUGUUCAAUGUAUCCCUAAGGUAAUACCAGAAAGCUUGUAACCAAAAAGCAUUUAAAUUGUUAACUAGAGUUUGGCUGAAGUUCAUUACUUCGUACACAGGUAAAUAUUUAGGUCUGUGGCACAGGUAAGACAGUGACUACAUCCAAAAGUACUCUAACCUUUCCUAAAGGCACUGAGAUUAAUCCCUCUUGUUGUCUGGGAGAUCCAAUGACGAGUGCCAAAUAUCUUCUUUGCAGAAUGCUUUUAGCAUGUUUGAUAACCUUUAAAACAAACCAAAUCACAGGUAAUUUGACACAUAAUGUAACAGAACUAAGAAUCUCGGAAUAGCAAAGUCAGAAAGAAAGAACCGACAUUUACUCACAUCAUCUGAAGCUCCAAAAGUUUUCUCACGGAAGACUGAAUGCAAAACUGUUGCACUUGUUUGUGUCCGUCCCAUCACAAGGAUACCGCUACAAUCUCUGUCAAGUCUGUGUACCUAAACAAACAAAAAGUUUGUUUAUAGAAGAUGAAUCAUUUGACAUCCAAGCAAUCUACAAGAUUGUUGCCGAAAAAGAGGCCAGGCAUGUACACUUGAUACAAUAUAAGAAAUAUUUUAUACAAAUGUUAUUCUAACUGAUCUAUAUAUUGUGUUUGCAUCGUGCCUAUCCAUAGAUUAGUAUAAUUGUACAUAAUCUUGAAUCAGAUACAUUACAAAGAAUGUAUCUGACAUUUUCUAAUAUGAUAGACAGUCUAUCCAUUGAUGUCUUCUCCAUAAAUUUUCCUUUCACGUUUAGAUGUGAAAAACACAAACAGUCAAAAAAGACAUGCAAAACAAUGGUCCCUGUUUGUUCAGACAUCAGGACUCUAACCCUAAUCAAACCAGAAAUUCAUUCCUUCAGUUGCAUUCUUUCUAACUUUUUACCCAACCAAGGUGGGUUGGAAACUGUAACCUCAUCCGAUGAAUGAAUAUUCCUAAAAACUUGCACAGCUUUGUUGAAAUCUCAAAAUGUGACAAAAGAAAUGGAAAAAAAAAGGUGAUAAUCAAUGGUUCAGCUCGAACUUGUCAAUAUAACCGUAACUGAAAUAGUGCAAUAGUCAUGCGAUGAAUAUCACUCUUUCAUUUCCAUAUGCACUCUAAAUUACAGCCAUAAAUGAUGAAUCCUCCAUAAGUUAGAAAUUACUACAAACUCACCAGACGAGGAGGUUGUGAUAAGUCAUAACUUAAACAAGUGGCAGCCAGUUCAUCUAAACUCCUUUUGAUUCCGAUACCACCCUGUACAAACAUCAGACAUUUCAACAUUGAAUCAGAUUAAGUUACCAAGAGACCAAAAGUACAACUAAUUAAUCAACUAAGUAUCAGUAGCUAACCUGAACAGGCAAUCCAGGGGGUUUAUUGAUGACAAUAAUAGCCGGAUCCUGAAAUCAAAAGAACACGCAUAAGCAAUAUAACUAACUUAACCCCCACACACACACAACCGAUAGAGUUCACAGUUACGAACCUUGUACAACACAAGGCUACGAAUAAACUCGGCUUCUUCCUCACUACAAUGCCCCUCUUUUUGCUUAUGAUCAGGGAACUCUUUCACAGAAAUAGGAAGACAAAUUCGAUCUCCUAAGUUCAUUGAGUCUUUAGUCCCCACCUUCACGAAAAAUCAAAAUCAGAAACAGAACCACCCCAUAUAAUCUCAUUACAAGCUCUAAAACUAUAUCCAUUAUAUUCGAAAACAAAGCUACAAAAUUUCAGAUACCCUUUUAAGUGGUUGAACACUCUGAUCCAUGUCAGAUGCUUCUCUUCGAACCUGUAACAAACAAUCAAAGCAAACCACUUUUCAAUACCAAUUCAAAAACCCAUUUCAAAAAUGCACUAAAAUUUAAAAACAGCUCAACCUGUCUUAACCGAAAGAGCUUCUGCACAAGGUUUCUGGGAAUCUCCGGGCAGCACCUGGUGACCCAUUUAAGCGCCGUCGUGGCUGCGGCGGCGGAGGGUUUAGCGUACACGUCUCUGCCGACGCUGCGAGAGAGCUCUCUGCCCAAAGCGGCGCCGUUUACGGUGUCAGUGAACGGCGGUAGAGUGAACCACUUGUUGCCGCGCUUUUGUUUGUCUUCGUGAACUGUUUGGGUGGUGGAGUAAGAUCGGAAAGUGUGGAAGAUUCUAUCGACGGCUGAUUCGGCGGAGGAGGAGGAGAGUGGAGGACGGAGGAGGAUGCGGCGGAGGAGAAGGCGGUUCGGCAUGUUUGGGAGUUUUGGGAUUUUAGUUUUGGAUUGUGAGGGUUUUAGUUUACCGGGAAAUUCAUAACGGUCCCCGGUCUUGUUUAGCCCUUUUUGUUGUCCUUUACGAUACAAAUAACAAAUAAAUUAACGUGCAAUAACUUUUUUUUUUUGUAAUUAGAGAUAAAAAUUUAUUGCACAACGACUAAGGAUUACAAAGAGAAGAAACUAAGCCUCCUAACUCAGUUGGAACAGAACCAAACCAACGAAAAGAAAACCCCAAACGAAGAGCCAAUUUUGCUAGCUUAUCAACAGCAGAGUUGGUUUCCCUAAAAAUAUGCAAAAAGAAAGAACAAGGCAUAGUAGAAAACUUAUCCUUAAUAUCAGCUACUACCUGACCAAAGGUUGAGUCAUCCUCCACACUAGAUGAACAAGUCUUGACCAACUUCAAACAAUCAGACUCAAAAAUAACAGGAGAAAGGUUAAACUCAGCAACGAGUUCACAUGCUGCUCUUCCUGCUAGAGCUUCAACAGUAUCCGGUGAAGCUAUAGUGUCCACUUUCAUACAGAUACCUCCCACUACAUGUCCAUCUAAGUCCCUUAAUAGGACACCGACCCCUCCUUGUUUCAUUUCAACUUGAAAAGCUCCAUCAAUAUUAGCUUUAAGCCAUCCCACUAAAGGAGGAGUCCAAGGUUUAAACACUCGUCUCCUACACAUCUUCUUUUGCGUAACCGAGUGCAACAAAAGAAUAAAAGAACGAACCUGAUAAAACACUUUGUUCAGCGAGUUCACCUUAUUAUCCCACAGUCUAGAGUUUCUUUCCUUCCAUCCAGCCCAAAUCAUAACCAGUAGUAGCUGGAAGUCAUCAAUUGGAAGCAACUCAGAGCAAGUAAUGAGCCAGUCCGACAUUGAAAUUGGUUGGAAAACACUUCGAAAUAUUUCAUGCAGCUUUGGGAACAUUUUGGCAAGGUCUCUGAUAAAACAACAAUCUCUACUCACAUGCUCAAUCGAUUCAGUAUCCUCAUUACAAAAGAAACAACCACCCCCAAUCAUAACCUUCUUAGUUCGAAGCAUAUCAACUGUGGGUAGAAUUGAAGAACAAACUCGCCAUAUAUGAACUUUAAUUUUAACUGGAACACCCAAGUGCCACAACUUCUUCCAAAAUCUCGUGCUCACCGUCUGGUUUGAAGCCGAAGGGGUAGCUUGAGAUAAUUGGCGAGCUAGCUAGUAUGCAGACUUUGUUGAAAAUCUGCCUCUUGAUUCAAAAUGUCAUAUAAGCUUGUCAUGGGAAUUGCGGUGCCGAAGUGGAAUAGAAACAAUCAUAUUGAGGUCUUCUUCUUCAAAAUGUUCUUCCAAUGAAGGAAUAUCCCAUUUUAUCCCUCCUAGACUUCAUCCCUUCUAGGUAUUAAGUUUUUUAUCCCUCAAAGAGUAACAUCUGCACAAAUUCAUAAAGGGGUGAGCCAUAAACUCAGUAGAGCAAAUCUCAUGUCAUUUCAAUAAACAAAUAGUGUAUGCACAUAUAUAGGUUAAGUCUUCAAAUUGGUACUCUUGUACUAUCCUUGGUCACCAGUGUCUUCUUGCCAUAGUAGAGAUCAUUUUAUCAAUUUGAAAUUGAAAUGGCUUCUCUCCCUGUUUGUAUACAAAAGGCUGAAAUAGCUAGUCCCUUUCAAAUGAUAGACUCAACCCCAUAACUUCAUUCAUUCAGCAUAGGAUCAAAUAAUAAUAUGAUGUUGAGCUAAACAUAAUAACCAUCUUUAACAAACAACAUGUACAAUUCCAAAGCAAGAUAACAAGAUUAUAAAACAAAGAGAUUCCCCAUAACUUCUCCUACCUCAAACCUGUUUUACCAAAACUGAAUUUCACUAUUAGAUACUAGUACUUUGCUUCAAACCUCCAUUAGUUUCUUUCUUCUUCUAACUUUUCUCUAUGUUUCUGAACUCUACUUUUUUUUAUUUCCUCAGGUGAAUACCUCUAGUUAUGCUAGGAAAAGUAAUCAACCACCUGUAGCUUCCCUAGCCUAUCUUAGUUAGACACUUAUCCUUCUAACUGUUAAUUUGCUGCCACCUAUUAAUGUAAAAACACUUGAAGUUUAUCUUCAAGUGCCAGCAGUUGUUUUUAAACUUGAUGCCGAAGUUUAAGCUGCUCACUCAGCAGGUAAAUGCAAUCCACAAGUUUGAUUGAGGUUUUCAGACUUUCACUUGUGAUUGGUUGCAUGUAGUCAUGUGUUAAGCAUAAGCUAGCACAUAAGCUAGCAAGUAGGUGAAUCAGCAUUUCAAAUAAGACAAAGCAGCAAUCCAAAAAUAAUUUUAUUUUAUUUUAUUUUAUUUUAUUUUUUUUUUAAGUUUUGAGGUUUCACAUACCCUACCAAAACCGAGCACACAUCUGAUGUAAAGAGUGGCAAAAAGAUUUAGGCAACAUAAAGCAAUUCAUUGUGUAAGAGGGCAAUACUUGCGCUACAACCCUUAUCAAGAUAUCCUUCCUUGCUCCACUCAAAAGCUUCCCUUGCCAUCCUUCCAUUUUAUUACUUAGUUGUUCUUUAAUAUAAGAGAAGGUUUCGGUCUUAUUCCUCCCCACCACCGUUGGUAACCCUAAAUAUAUCCAUGCUUCUCAACAAUUCCAACCUCAAGAAUACCAGCCAAAUCACUACGAAUUUCAUCAAAUACACCCUUGCUAAACACAACAUCACUUUUUGCUAAAUUUACCUGUUGACUAGAAGCUGCUUCAUACUCUGCUAACACUGACCGAAUAGUAAGACACUUAGCUGAUGAUGCUGUACCUAAUAAUAAACUAUCAUCCGCAAACAAUAAAUGAUGAAUGGUAGGAGCACCUGGACAUAUCUAGACACCCUGUAAUAAUCCCAUCGAAGCCUUCUUCUCUAAAAGAGCAGAGAACACUUCGGCACAAAGGAGAAAUAAAUAGGGAGAAAGUGGAUCUCCUUAUCUAAGACCCCUUGAUGGUUUCAGAGACCCACAAGGUUUCCCAUUGAUAAAAGAGGAAUAGCUGACGGUGCUCACACAUUGCAUCACUAAUCUGACCCAAUCCUCGUUGAACCCAAGUCUGAGUAAAACAACUUCCAGAAAGACCCAUUUCAUUCUAUCAUACGCUUUACUCAUGUCCAAUUUCAGAGACAUAACUCCAUCUGACUUAGUUGAAUUAAUAUAAUGGGAAACUUCAUUAGCAAUCAAGUAAUUGUCAGUGAUUAGCCGACCUGGUAUAAAUGCACUUUGGAAGGGAGAAAUAAUAACUGAAAGGUGCUUCUUCAGCCUAUUAGCGAUCACCUUCGAGCAGAUUUUAUAAAGCACAUUACAUAAGGCAAUCGGCCUUAGCUCAGAGACCUGUGUCGGAUUAGGAACCUUCAGAAUAAGACAUAUAUGCGUAUAGGUGCCUUGACGCACUAAUUUGCCAGAAUGCAAACAACUUUUCACCGCCAGACAAACCUUCGGUCCAACCACAUCCCAGUACUUUAGAAAAAAUUCCGGAGGCAUACCAUCCGGCCCUGGUGACUUUGUAGGGUACAUUUGGAAAAGAGCAGCCCUAAUCUCAUCAUCUGUAUACGAUGCACAUAACUCCAAAUUCAUUUCAGUGGUUACCUUCGGGUUAAGCAAAUUCAUCGAAGCUUGCAUCCGAACAGUAUCUAUGGAAGCUGAAGUGAACAUUGAAUCAAAAUACCUCAAAAUGACAUCUUCCAUACCUUUCGGCGUUGGUUGCCAAACACCAUUGAUAUCAUACAAGCCUCGGAGUCGAUUCUUAGCUCUUCUAUUCGAUGCUAUCUGAUGAAAGUACUUCGUGUUUUUAUCACCUUCUAUAAGCCAAGUAAUCUUAGCCCGCUGCUUCUAGUAAAGUUUCUCCUCCUCCAGUAAACUCUCCAAUUUCCCAGAGAUCACCGAGUGUUCCUCCAAGUAACGAGGAAUGAGUGGCAAAUUCAUUAAUUCCUACAACCUACCCCUCAUCAACUCAAUCUCCUUCUUACGAUUACCAAAGUGACUCUCUGCCAUGAAUUCAAAGCCAUCCUCGUUGAAGCAAUCUUCGCCAUAGUCUGAAACAUAGGCAACCCUUGCGCCGACGAAGACCAUCCCGAUUGAACCACAUCCCUACAACCAUCAUGCAACGUCCACGCCAAUUCAAACCUAAAUCGAUACUUCACAAGCUCUCUGCUUGUGGGAGGAGACUCAUAAACUCCAAGCAGAAUAGGAGUGCGGUCGCCAUGAAUUGGUGGCAAAUGUGUAACCACUGAAGCUGGAAAAAUAUCAAGCCAUGAUGGUGUCGCAACUACCCUAUCUAGCCUGCGGCGCACCUCCCAUCCUUUCCAUGUGAAUGGUGCACCUGUAAAUCCCAAAUCGAUGAGUUCAACAUCGUCCAGAGCGGUUUGAAACCGAUUCAUCUGUGCCCAGCCUCUAGCGACACCACCAUCCUUCUCAGUAUCACUCACAAUCUCGUUAAAAUCACCUAUAACGAUCCAAGGCAAGUCAGAGUGCUCAGCCAAUUCCUUCAACAAAUCACAAGACAGAUAACGAUCCCCUGCCGCCGGAUGACCAUAGAAACCGGUAAGGCGCCACCGAAUGCCCGACCCGUCCAUCGCAAAAACCUCGACAUCAAUGUGGUUCUUUGAUUUCUACAGAAACCGAAUAUCCAACCCAUCUUCCCAGAGGAGGGCCACCCCACCGGACUGUUCUUCACUGAACACCACCUCUCCAUUCCGAAACCCUAGUUGCAGUCGCAAAGCGUUGAGAUAGCUUCAAUCAUGGAUUUUGGUUUCAGAAAGAAAAACUACUGAUGGUUUCUUCUGCUAAAUAAGGGUUUGUAGGGCUUGAACAGCUCGAUUGUUGUUCAUGCCCCGAUAAUUCCAAGCCAGGAUCUCCAUAGAUCGAUGGUUGGGGGUGCUAAAAUGAGAAACCCUAGCAGAGCAAGGAAGACGCGUUUCUCUAAAAUGUCAUUGUCUAUAAUGUGCAAUAACUUAAUAUAAAAAAAUCUCUUACUAAUGACAAAAAAAAAAAUUUUAAAAAAUAAUCUUUAACCCACCUUACACAUACCAAUAAAAUUUGAAACAUAACUUUAACGUUAUUGGUUAGGCUAUGUACCUUAAUCAAAAGAAAAAGAUAAUGAUCAUUGAUCAAUAUGGUCAAUUUUAACAAUCACUACGCCAGAUAAUGCAUCACACGAUGGGGAAAAAACAUCAUCUGAUAAAGGUCAAAUCAGUUGUUAAUCUGAUCGCUGUUUGAUCAACAUGUCACACAAUGGCUAAAAAGAGCUUGUCUGGCUAACUGACACAUAAUGCUACAAUAAAAACCAUUGUGUGAUUCUCGACAGAUAUUAUCAACAUCUGCCGACACAUGUCAAGCUGCUUCUCGACAUAUGUUGAUGAAUUAUGUUGAGAAUCAUACAAUGGUUUUUUGUAGAAUAUUGUUCUGUGAUUCUUGACAGAUAUUAUCGAUAAAUGCCGACACAUGCCGAGCUGCUUCUCGUCAGCUGUCGAUAAUAUAUGCUGAGAAUCACACAACAGCUUUUCCAAUAAAAACUCUUGUGUGAUCGUCAACUCACACAACUGUUUUAUUUCAAGAGUUGUUGUGUGAAUAUCGACAGAUUUUAUCGACAUAUCUCGAGAUUAUUCCGUGUUGCCGUCAACAAUAUCUGUCGACAGUCACACAAUAGUUUUUUAGUUAAAAUUGUAGUGUGAUAUGAUGUUCACAUAACGCCUUUAUUAAUUUUCUUUGUUGUGUGAUUGUUAAGAAGAACACAUGUUUGUUCCUUAUUACCAUUGUGUGAAUCAAUAAUCACACAACGCUACAUUUCAAAAGAAUUAGUUGUAGAAUCAUUUAUUUAGACAACGUUGGAUUAUCAUUAACAUGUUGUAUGACUUGUUCUACCAAAUUAGCAAAUGAAAAAUAGUUAAUAGCAUCCAAACCAAAAUCUCAUAAAAGCAUUAAAAGCACAGUAUUAACCUUGAUUGAGACACCAAAAUAGAUACAUAAUAUAUAUAAGAUCACUACGAUCCACCAAGAUAUGAUCAUAUUAUAAAUAUUGUAUAACAUAUAUUACACAUCAUAGAAGGCCAUAUAUAUAGUAGACACACCCAUCUUAAUACAUAUCUAAGAUCCAAAAGAAGCCUAAAGAAACCACCAGUCCAACAUCCACAACGUACUACUAGUAUUCUAUUGAACCUACCUACAUAAUUUAAAGCUAGGUUCUCCUGCUGCCAUAUAUGUAACUCGAUCCAUAUCAUCUAAAAAAAAUAACCUGCAAAAAAACCACAAGUCCAACAUCCUCCAUAAUCACUAUAUUAUUAAUACUAUUUUUAAAACACAUAAUUCAAAGCAUGGUGCUGCAUAUAUAUAACUCAACUCCUAUAUAUACUUGCAUGCUUAAAAAAACAGGAGAUACCAAAUAACAAUAGGUAUUCAGGGUAUUAACUCCUAUUUAAAUUCUGAAGAAAGAAAAAAGUUACAAACUUAGUAAGAUUCAAAAUAGUAAGCAAAUAUUAAUUGAACAAUACCUUCAAAGUUACAAGCACGACUGCACAAACUUCAUUGUACCUAUGUGCCAUUUACGAUUAUAUGGCUUUUUUCAGCAAAGUAAACCAAAGUAUUAAAAUGGAAGAACGGUGUUGUGAGGGAUAUCAUAAAAUUGGCAAAAUUGCUAUAUGCAAAGUCUAUUUUAAUCAGCUCAAAAUCUAUCUAUCUAUCAUAUAAAAGUUUCUCUUAAGCAUGCACGUAGAAACUACCUGCAUAAUAUCAUUUUAAGGGCCAAAUUAUCCAAAUGCAAUAGCAUAUUCUUAGGGCAUCUACUCACUUGCUUCUGCACUUUGUACCUGUAGUUGAAGUACUUCAGGUAUCAGUCAUAUGUCAAUCUGUCCAGUAGCCAAAGAUGCAUGCAUUGCUAUGAAUCCACUCGUAUGACCCAUCAACUUUACAAUACCAAUACCACGAUAAGCACUUUGUACCUAUUAAAGAUUGAGGAGAAAAAUCAGUUCACCAUUUAGACAUUAAUACCAAGAAAUGGAUGAGCAAGUUGGACACUAUAUUUCUCUAUUUGUCAUGGAAUUCAUACACUUAAUGCAAGAUGAUAUUAUUAAAGCAUUACCUAGUUGCCAUAGUUUGAGAAAUCUUCUAUCUUCAAACCGUGCACAUCAUAAAUCCUAAUCAUAGCACAAAUCUAUAAUUAGCUACGUACACACAGACAUUUCUGUACAGGUAAACAUUCUCUUACCAUACGUCUACAAUCACAAGCAUUCUCUUAUCCUAAUGUGUCAUAAUUCAUAUCAAUUGACUAUUUCAUAAAAAGAAAAUGAAACCAAUUUCACAUUGCACAGUUCAAUACCUUUUGCUUGUUGAACUCUUCCAGGGUNNNNNNNNNNNNNNNNNNNNNNNNNNNNNNNNNNNNNNNNNNNNNNNNNNNNNNNNNNNNNNNNNNNNNNNNNNNNNNNNNNNNNNNNNNNNNNNNNNNNNNNNNNNNNNNNNNNNNNNNNNNNNNNNNNNNNNNNNNNNNNNNNNNNNNNNNNNNNNNNNNNNNNNNNNNNNNNNNNNNNNNNNNNNNNNNNNNNNNNNNNNNNNNNNNNNNNNNNNNNNNNNNNNNNNNNNNNNNNNNNNNNNNNNNNNNNNNNNNNNNNNNNNNNNNNNNNNNNNNNNNNNNNNNNNNNNNNNNNNNNNNNNNNNNNNNNNNNNNNNNAUUCCCAAAAGCCCUGAGCAAUUCCCAAAUCCAUUGUUUUGUAACAAUGAGCUUCAGAUCUGAGAAAUUUUCAGGAAGCAAGUAAGGAAGAAAAAUUCACCAAUAACUGACCUUUCAUUAUUUUCAUGUGAAAAUUUCCAGAAUCAAAAUAGACAAGCAACUCUACAAUGUGCAGAAAUUUCAAGUCGUUUGGAAUUCAAAUUGACAGUCAAAUAGAGAUCCAAAGUGACUGAAAGUUUCUGCAGAAAAUUCUGAAACAUUGUAAAAUUCAAGAUAGCACAAGUUUCUCAAAUCAACUCCGUUUUUCGUGAGACCAAGUUUAAAACGAUCAUUGAAGAGUCUAUUUUUAACUGUUAAAAACUGAGAUUGAAAGAAGAAGUAUAGGUUUUUCAAAAAUCUUGGAAAAGCCCACUGGUUCAGCUUGGUUGUAUCUUUGAGGCAUAUUAUCAAACAUGUGGUGUGCACUAUGUGAUCCUUGGUCUAUUUCUGUUCUAAGCAUGCUUAAGAACCUACCAAUACUAGGUAAUAGUCAAAAGUGCAUCCCACCAACAAUCUUAAACACAUAUAGAUAGAAAUAUUAACAAGGGGAAGAAACGUAUUACCAAAAGAAAGUUCUGAUGUUGAUAUAAAGUAGACAAACUCAGCAAUUUGAAGGUCCAAGAUCCUCUAUUUGUUCUGUAAAAGUAGAACUCAUGGAUUAGAACAGGUAUAUAGAACAUGUAGAUGUAGGUUUUAUCUUUUUUGAAGUAAUUCCCAUAGCUCUUCUGCAUACUGAGCCAUUCUAAUUUGAAUGUACAUCUUAACACCCUUCUCAAUGGUUUGUUCUCUGCUGACACAGAAGUCAAGCCUGAAUUUAUGAGAAAAGUUAAACUAAUGCAUUUCAUAUCCAUAACACUAUGACUACGGCAGCCAAUUUCCUGGAGAGCCAAUAAUAUAAAUUACACAGUUUCAGGAAGAUCUUAGCUGAUAUAUACGUAAUACAAAUUGAGCAACUAAAGACAAGAAAUCACAUGGUAAAACACCAAUACCCAAUACAGGACACAAACACCCAAUAUAAUUAGAAAGGUAAGACUCCAAUACCCAUUACCCAGUCCUCAUCGAGAAAAAAAAAACCUCCAAUACCCAGUACACACAAACCCAGUAUAUUGAGCUAAUUUUUUACCUAUAAUAAAUUUCUCACAAAACUAUACCAAAGUGAAACUAGAACAAAUAAAUCCACAAAAUCUUUACCUAUGUAAGAUUUCAUAACCAGGCCUCUGCCACACCUUUGCAUAGUUGGUAUAUCAAAGUACUGCAUCAUCACAAAUCCACAACUUAUUAAAGUACAUACCUACUUCAAAGUACUACAGCGCAUAACGAAAAACCGAGAUUUAGUAUCGAAAUGAGACCUUAACGUACAACAUGAGCAAGAAUGGAUUGUCCAGAUUAACAAAAAUUGCGAAUGUAUUUCUUGACAUCAGUCUCCAUGUACUUAAACACCAGUAGAGUAGAGUCUUGCCUUCCUUGUUCAUGCCUUGCUUCACAUCCAUCAACCUAUUCAAAAACAAAAACAAAAUCAAAUCAAAUCGAUUAUCCACCCUAAAGCCCCAAUCUGAAACCCUAAUUAACCAGAUUGAUGAGGCACCUGAAGAAAUUCCUUCAAGCAAUUCCUCACUUGAUGAGGCACCUAAAUAAAGGAAGGGGAUCCGCUAGAAAAGCCGAAACCCAGAAAAAGAAGAGGAAAGUAAGCUUGGACUCAAGGCUAAAAGAAAUCAGAAUUGGAGAGAGAAGGAAAGGAUUACCUUGAAGAAUCGAAUGCAAUGCUGGAGAGUCGUCGACGGUGACGUUGCAGACAACGACGUUGCAGACGAACCCAUAAAAGAAGAAGACAAGAGGGAUUAGGUCCCAAACGGAAAAACAAAGCUCAAGGGAGCUCGAAAUCGAAAGAAAAGAGAUGAGUUUACUUUUGAGAAGCUUGAGCUUGCCGGAAAAGAGAGGAUUUGGCCAGAAAUCAUAAUUGGGGUUAGGGUUUGGAUUUUCAAUAUGAGAAAGGGGAUAGUUGGAUGUCGAUUUUGUGGGUAUGGGGAGGUAGACGAGAGAGAGGAGAGUUAAGUGCUGGUCUCCGAUCGGCCAACGGCAGACAGAUGACGGCCGAGGCACGCCUGGAAGGGGAGCGGCUCCUCUACCUUUCUCUCUCUCGAACUCUGUCUUUCUCUCUCGACAAAAUGAGCGGUUUUGAGUGUAAGUGUGUGUGUGUGAGAGAGGUUUUGAGCGAUAGGUUUUUCUUUUUUGUGUGAGUGUCAAGUGCUUUAGGUUUUGAGUUAAGUGUUUCCCAAAUCAUACAACAAAACUCUAAUUUUAAUUGUCUGAGAAUGACAUCCUUAAAUUGCAAGAGCGGAGAUCUCCCGCUACUACAUCUCAGUUUUAAUUUUUUCUCUAUUUAUUUUACAAAUCAGACAACAUAGAUUGUAUGUUUUAUUGUCUGAGAACAAAUGACAUCCUUAAAUUGCAAGAGCGGGAGAUUUCUCACUGCUACAUCUCUGUCUUAAUUUUUUCCUAUCUAUUUUACAAAUCAGACAACAUAAAUUGCAUAUUUUGUUGUUUGAGAAUAAAUGACAUCCUUAAAUUGUAAGAGUGGGAGAUUUCCCGCUGUUACAUCUCAGUCUUAAUUUUUUCCUUAUCCAUUUUACAAAUCAAACAACAUAAAUUGCAUAUUUUGUGUUGUUUGAGAAGAAAGAAGAUAGAGACAUUCACUUAAUCGUGAGGGGGGGAAAUUUCCAGCUACUUUUCAUUCUAACGAGUCACUUUUAAAAUAACCCUAGUUUUCACUCACACAACGCAUAACAGCACUAAGAGUUGUCUAAAUAUGGUAGACUCAUCAUACGAAAACACGUCGAAAUGUAAUACUCGAAACAUUUUUUUGAUUUUGUCGACACUUGUAUAAUCAUAUGGUUAUUGUGUAUGAACUCAUAUAAGAAGCUGAUGUCAAUUAUAUCAUGAUUGUUUGGCUCCCCAUAGUGAAAGUAAGUGUAAUUAAAGUCGACCGCGUCGAUCGACACUCAUGUAAUAUUGAAAAUUGAUGACGUUUCUAUCACAAUCAUGCUUCAAUAUCGUAAACAUGUCUAUACGGUUCGAUUUUCAAAAUUUCAUUUCCUCAAUGGUGUCUCUCUUGAUAGACACACGUUUAUAUAAUAUGUACUACACAUGUUAUGUCACAUUAUGUGCAACAUAGUAAACAUGUUAUACUCAUUAGUUGGUUGAUUGUGAUAUAGACGUUUAGGAUUAAAAUCAUGAAAAUUCGACCGUUUGAUAUAAUUAUGAUAGUGAAGUAUAGUAGUCUAACAAAAUUCACAAAUUUUCAGAAACUUUUGGGUAUCGAUCAACUCAGUCAACCAUAAAUUCAACAAUAUUAAUUAUACGUCACACAUCAGUAUUAAAAAAGAACCGUUGUGGCACUGCAAUAGGAAAUUUAUUAGGGUUUUUAGGGUUUAGGGUAUUUUAGGGGUUAGAGGUUACGAAACAUACAACGUAAUAUUGAAAACAAUUGUGUGAUAUACUUUCACACAACAUUUCUUAGUUGAUUGUUGUGGGAUAAAGAACUUAAAGUAAUAUUGUCAAAUGUAAGAGAAGGGCUUCAUCAUGACACGAAAAUACAUUAUAUAACCAAAACUGAAAAGUCGUUGUGUGAUUGUUGAAAAUACUAUACUCUCACACAACAGGUUUGACUGUUCCGUUGUUACAUCAAAACCACCAAGGUUAUCCUUCACAACAAAUUUAGGUUUUCAGAGGACGUAAGAGCAAUUUUAAAACUAGAAGUCUGCAGCCUGGUAUGAGAGAUACAUCGUACAACAGAUGUAUAAAAAGUAUUGUGUGAUAGUUUAAAUUGUAUACAUUCACACAACAUUUAUUUGUUUCACUGUUAUGUAACAACACCCAGUUAUAUGUCAAAAUAGAGUGGGGUCAGAAGCAAAAUGAGCCUCAUUUUUAUCUUCAUUCACACAACAAAAUAUUGUCCAAAGUGUUGUACUAGUUUAAGGAAAAAAACUGGAAUGAUCUCAGACUACCUAGACAACGGCUGAAAAUUUCUGAACGUUGUAUGAAGCAUUUUUUAAAUUUGUACAACUCUGUUAUUAUGCACGGUUGUGUGAAAAGUGUCGUUUGUUGCACUUAUUGGCGUAGUGAAUAAAUAAACUCACCAUGGACUACAAUUAUGAAGUAAAGAUUGGCUUUUUCAGUUUAUUCCAUGAGGAUUGAUAUUGAUUCGACAAUCAUAUCUCCUAUAUCACUUGAGAAUUUGGUUAAACGUGCUCCACCAUUACCACCACUAUCAUUGUGUCCAGUAGCAGGGCUCGAUACAGAUUGCUUAUUUCUCCCAAAUAUUGAUGGUGCAUAUAAAAGAUUUGUUGUGCUAGAUUUGAAUGUGCUCGCCACCAUGGCCACUAGGGACGGAGUCAGAAAUCAUAAUUGAGGGGGGAGGGGGGAGGGGGGGGGGGGGGGGGGGGGNNNNNNNNNNNNNNNNNNNNNNNNNNNNNNNNNNNNNNNNNNNNNNNNNNNNNNNNNNNNNNNNNNNNNNNNNNNNNNNNNNNNNNNNNNNNNNNNNNNNNNNNNNNNNNNNNNNNNNNNNNNNNNNNNNNNNNNNNNNNNNNNNNNNNNNNNNNNNNNNNNNNNNNNNNNNNNNNNNNNNNNNNNNNNNNNNNNNNNNNNNNNNNNNNNNNNNNNNNNNNNNNNNNNNNNNNNNNNNNNNNNNNUAGUUUAAUUCGUCAGCUAAGAUCUUAGCCGACGAAGGCUCGUCGGCUAUGGUUUCGUCGGGAAAGGGUCGUCGGCGAUGGCUUUAGCCGACGACACUAAAAGACGUCGUCGGCUAUUAUCUGGGACAAUAGCCGACGAAUAUUUUAAAUGAUUCGUCGACCAUAGUCUGAGAUUUUAGCCGACGACGAUAUUCGUCGGCUAAAGUAUGUAAUAAAAAAUAAAAAAAAUAACUAUAGCCGACGAAAUAUAGUCUGUUUCGUCGGCUAAACCUUAUAAAAAAAAAUUAAAAAUACUAUAGCCGAUGAAUAUCUUCGGCUACAGUAUUUAAAUAUCAUCGGCUAAAGUUGUUGGUUUUUGAAAAAAAAAACUGCAGAAACUUUCGGCCACCUCCAAUCACCACCAAAAUUUGACAGAAUCUUCCUCUCAACAUUUCGAACAACUUUCUAGAAGAAGUUGAAGCCCAAUUCUAAGCCUAAACAGGUCAAUUGAAUCAAAAUAUAAAAAUCCCCAAUUUUAAACCCUAAAAACUUCAAAUCUUUGAUUCUCCUCACACACACCGAAUCGAGCUACCAAAUUCUAGGGGAAUGUAGUACUAAUCAAACUCAACUUAUCCAUAUAUAGAACUCACCAAAUGGUGACCUGAGGAAGGAGAAAUUCGAUCGACACCGAAUCUGAACCGGCAGAGUUUUGGAGCUCGAUUUAUCCCUCACAGUGGCGCCACUUGAUGCGCCACCUGUCCAGCAAUGAAGUAGAGACGACGGCAAAGCUCUUGGGACAAGUGUGGCGGCCUCCGGUGGCUUGACGGCAGAGCUAGGCCGAGAAGAAAAUCCGACAGGCGAAACAGUAACUUUUUCUGAUUUUCUGACUUCUUACCAUCCACCUCCGGUAAAACUCCUAUAUAAAGAACUUUACCCGACGAAAUUCUUUAUUUUCGUCGGCUAAACUCUUUUGAAAAUUUUGGUUGACCGCCAAAAAUUUUUUGACAAUAGCCGACGAAAUCAUAUAUUUUCAUCGGUUUAAGUCCUUUAAAAAUUUUCCCCCAAAUUUGGUUUGCUGCAAAAAAAUUUUCGACUUUAGCCAACGACUUUUCAUAUAUUUUCGUCGGCUAAAGUCCUUUGAAAAUUUUCCUCCAAAUUUGGUUUACCGCCAAAAAAAUUUUGACCUUAGCCGACGACUUUUUUAAUAUCUCGUCGGCUAAAGUCUAUAAAUUCACGAAAACGCUCAUAUCUCCCUCUAUAUUAUGUAGUUUGGUCAAAUCUUCCACAUGAAAAACUUUCAUGUAGAUGAGACGCAACCGCCUAUAUAAAAAUUUUGAGACAUUUACCUUCCGACGAUAGGGCUCCCCAUAGGGAAUAAUAACGGUAAAUAGGGUUGACCGCUACUAUCGGCACCGAGACGUUACCCGAUUUACGUGAUUUUUGAACCAUAGCCGUAUUUCACCAUUCUGAACACAUCUUAUUUCACGAGAUUUUUGAUAAUUUUGCUUCCUAUAUAGAGUUGGUUCACAAAGUUGUAUAACAUACUAAACAAGUUAUAUAACAUUAGUAGACACGUUAUGAUUCCUAUGAUUAAAAUUUACAAACCAAAAUUCGACCGUCAGAUAUGAUUAUUAUGACGAAAGAUGUCUAUGGUAAAAAAUUCAACUGGAUCCGACAACGUUAAGGGCUCGAUCGAAACGGUCAACCCUAAUCCAUCGUCACUUAUCACAUGAAAACGCUCAUAUCUCCCUCUAUAUUACAUAGUUUUGUCAAACCUUCUACAUGAAAAACUCUCACGUAGAUGAGACGCAACUUCCCAUAUAAAAUUUUUGAGACAUUUACCUUACGACGAUAGGGCUCCCCAUAGGGAAUAAUAACGGUAAAUAGGGUUGACCGCUACUAUUGGCACCGAGACGUUACCCGGUUUACGUGAUUUUUGAACCAUAGCCGUAUUUCACCAUUCUGAACACAUCUUAUUUCACAAGAUUUUUGAUAAUUUUUCUUCCUAUGUAGAGUUGGUUCACAAAGUUGUCUAACCUAUUAAACAAGUUAUACAACAUUAGUAGACACGUUGUGAUUCCGAUGACUAAAAUUCACAAACCAAAAUUCGACCGUCAAAUAUGAUCAUUAUGACGAAAGAUGUCUAUGGUAAAAAAUUCAACUGGAUUCGACAACGUUAAGGGCUCGAUCGAAAUGAUCAACUCUAAUCGGAAAUAAGAAAACUGUAUUUUGAAGCCCUAAACGGACUCAGAUGGCCAAAAAGGCCCAUAUGUCAAGGAAAAGUGAUGAGUUUGACUCGUAGGGCCGUUACGCUUCCGGAAAGGUAUCACAAUAGUCAAUCGGACACCGAACGCCAAAUUUGCAGCAUACCGGGUUUCGACUGUUCUACAUCAGAUACUUUACCCGAUUUACGUGAUUUUUGAACCAUAGCCGUAUUUCACCAUUCUUAACACAUCUUAUUUCACGAGAUUUUUGUUAAUUUUGCUUCUCUGUAGAGUUGGUUCACAAAAUUGUGUAUUUGUUUGAAACAUACUAAGCAAGUUAUACAACAUUUUAUUGUUUUUCUUUUAGCUGACGAAAUAAUAGUAUCGUCGGCUAAAGUUGUGAAUAGCCGACAACUUUUUUCGAUAAUAGCCGACGAGAUUUUUUUUCGUCUACUAAAAUACUUUAGCCGACGAGUAAAAACUUUGGCCGACGAAGGAAAACUUUGGCUGACAAAAAAAAAUUUCGUCGGCUAAAGUAUAGUAUAGCUGACGAAAAAAUUUCUUUAGCCGACAAAAUUUUUUUUCGUCCGCUACAGUUGAUCAUAGCCGACGAAAAUUUAAAUUAGCUGACGAAGGAAAAUUUCGUCGGCUAACAUGGACUUUANNNNNNNNNNNNNNNNNNNNNNNNNNNNNNNNNNNNNNNNNNNNNNNNNNNNNNNNNNNNNNNNNNNNNNNNNNNNNNNNNNNNNNNNNNNNNNNNNNNNNNNNNNNNNNNNNNNNNNNNNNNNNNNNNNNNNNNNNNNNNNNNNNNNNNNNNNNNNNNNNNNNNNNNNNNNNNNNNNNNNNNNNNNNNNNNNNNNNNNNNNNNNNNNNNNNNNNNNNNNNNNNNNNNNNNNNNNNNNNNNNNNNNNNNNNNNNNNNNNNNNNNNNNNNNNNNNNNNNNNNNNNNNNNNNNNNNNNNNNNNNNNNNNNNNNNNNNNNNNNNNNNNNNNNNNNNNNNNNNNNNNNNNNNNNNNNNNNNNNNNNNNNNNNNNNNNNNNNNNNNNNNNNNNNNNNNNNNNNNNNNNNNNNNNNNNNNNNNNNNNNNNNNNNNNNNNNNNNNNNNNNNNNNNNNNNNNNNNNNNNNNNNNNNNNNNNNNNNNNNNNNNNNNNNNNNNNNNNNNNNNNNNNNNNNNNNNNNNNNNNNNNNNNNNNNNNNNNNNNNNNNNNNNNNNNNNNNNNNNNNNNNNNNNNNNNNNNNNNNNNNNNNNNNNNNNNNNNNNNNNNNNNNNNNNNNNNNNNNNNNNNNNNNNNNNNNNNNNNNNNNNNNNNNNNNNNNNNNNNNNNNNNNNNNNNNNNNNNNNNNNNNNNNNNNNNNNNNNNNNNNNNNNNNNNNNNNNNNNNNNNNNNNNNNNNNNNNNNNNNNNNNNNNNNNNNNNNNNNNNGCUGAGAAGCCUCUAUAUAUAUAUAUAUAUUUAUUUAUACAUAUAUCGGUAGAUACAUAUAUGUAUGUAUAUGUAUGUAUAUGCACCCAGAUUUCAGUAAGAUUCACCUUUAGCUUCUUUGCAUAUAAUAUUCAAAACAUCAUACAUCAAAUACAUAAACAAAGAGCAAGCUAGCAGCUGGUAACUAAGUUGUACACUGCAGGUUUAUACCUAAAAAGAAGAAAGGAAACAAAAAAAUUACAAGCAACUCCAGCAUUAACAACCAUAUCGAUCGUUUAUGAGUCAACGGUGUAUGCCAUUGUCAUACAGGUGACCAACUCCAGGACUCGGGCCAGAGUUGUCUUUGAUUCCGUGUUGUACUUGCAGAAUCCGAGCAGUCCUUGCUCUGUGUCCUCCACCACCUUUGCUUGGCCCUGAACUCUUCACCAUCCCAAAUGCCAAACCAUCCAUCCCUCUGUAACUGCGUAAUGGCCUUGCUUCGACGCGAAGAAGGCUAAAACUCAAAACGAGAAGAAGAAAAAGAAGAAGAUGAGCACCGAAUCUUUGUUGGUUUGCUGCCAUUUUAUGCAUGUACGUGGUGUAUAUAUCUGCUGCAAUUCAAAAGCGCAGUGAACGUCGUCAAGUAGUUGUUGCUCUUGGCUACACGUACACUUUCUAGUAACCGAGAGCUCCCGAGAGAUCCUAUUUAUAGAAAUUCCAAAUUUAAUGUCAUGUUAUCACGUAUACUGUGUACUGUUUUAAAAAUUACAACAGGGAUUGUUUCUUAUUCAUUCUUUAAUAACAAAUGCGUUUCUCAAACAGAAGAAGACACGGGAACAGUAAAUUUAGGAGGAAAUGCAUAUCACGGAAAUUAAAAAUAAUUAGGUAUCAGAAUACAAUCUUCUUGUUGCUUCCAUUUCUAGCUUACUUCAAGUUGAAAUGCGUGUGCAUGUUAAAGUAGGCUUCCAGUGAUGAAAAUCUCUAUCAAAUCUUUUUUUAUUUGAUAAAUUUUUUGCAGGUAAUUUGGAUUGUAAGCAGGUAGUAUAUGUGGUUUUCCUUUUUCUAAUUUUCUAAACCUACUUAUAGUGAAAUUUCUAGCAGACAAGUUAUUGUUAAUAUCUACAAUGAGAAAAUAUAUAGUUGUUAUUACUAGGCUAGGUUAAAGAAAAAGAGCAUCGGGAAGUUAUUGGUUGCCCUAAUUUCAUUGCCCUAAUUUAGCUCUUGGGAUUAUCAAGUGUACGUUGUUGACCUCCUCUACAGUUAUAGCACAUGAAUAAAAUCAGCAAUUGCGGUUUGCUCGACCCACAAUGCUCUUGUUUCACGUUCUUGACUCUCAACAGGUGACACUUUCUUCUCCCUCACGGCUAAUUAAGCAUAAAACUACGUAUAUAUUCUCUAUUCCCACAUGUGAUUUGGAAUUGGAUUCUACGCCAUAUAUAGAUCUUAGUUACAGCUAGGGCAACAUAAUGAUAAAGAGCCUCAUACUUCUGCAAGUAAAAGAUCAUUGUGAGUAGCGGCAACAAGAAACCGACCAUAUAUGACUCGCUAAACGUGCACUUGUCUAGCUAUUUAACAAUUGUAUCACAUAAUUUCACAAAAGAAAAAUAAAUUCAAGCCGCGGAAGCUCUUCGUUUUGAUUUGCUCCAAAGUGAUUGUCUAAGAGGCAUUUUUUUUUGCUCUUCUUUUCCUUCUCAAGAAAAAAAUCUAAGUGAUGAAUCGAUCACUUACGAUUUUGCGGAGACUUAUUACUAAUCAACUUACUUAUAGAAAUAGUUACAUAUAAGAGCAUCUUUAACAAUGCUAGCUAUUUUUUAGUUAAAUUUUAGUCAAAUUAGCUAAAAUGUCAUUUUAGCUAACCACUUUAGAAAUGUGCUGCAUCAAUGCUCUCUAUUUUAGUUAACAUUACAUCAACAUUAUUAUUCAAAUAAAGAUUAAAUAGUUUAAAUAUAUUUAUAUAUCAAGUAAAAUAUCUUUCAAGGAAUGUAUUAAAUUAUAGCUAGUCUCAUCUAAGUCAUCUUGCUCUCUAAAUUUAGCUAGCGAGAUAGCUAAAAGUCAUAAUAGCUAAACUUUGGUUAGUAUGUAAUAUGUUGGGGCUCCGAAAAUAUUAAAAAAAAACUAAACACGCCCUCUAAAAUAAAUAAAAGCUAAAAUAAAGAGUCUGUUAAAGUUGCUCUAAGAAUGUUUAUUAUCUUACAUCUCCCAAUACAUGUAUGUUGAAUAUUUGAUAUAUGGUGUGUUUUUCUUUUUUAAUUUCUUUUCAUCUAGUCUAUUCUAAUUCAUUGACAUUCGGAUAGUUGCGUAAAAAUUUAGAACUUUUGAUGUGCUACGAGGAAAUAAUUAUGAUUCUUACGUGCUUAUUUCAAUAGUGUUAAUUUGACUCCAAAGUUAGCACAUUACUGUAUAUGAGGACGAAAGCCACCAUAUUACAUAUAUAUACAAGUAAGUAUAUGGCCAGUUUCAAAAUCUAAAUCAUAAUAUGUACUUGGUCGCUUUCAAAUUCCUAGCACCUCGCAAAGUUCUCAUUCCAGUACCAUAGAAAUAUCCACAUAUAUACUAUAAGAACUAGUGGACUCUUACCUGAUUUGAAUAUGACUUAUAAAUAAGCACCACUGUAUUUGAAUAUGCUCUCUGCCUCCAAUUACGGAUACAAAGACAGUAUCACUUGUACGUACUCAUCAUAAAUUGAUGAACUUAUUAGGAUUCUCUCUGCCUUUUUUUUUUUAUUAACUGUUUUGUUUUGUUUUUUUCUGUUUCUUUUUUCUUGUUCUUUUUCUUUUGAUGAUCAUAUAUAUAUGGGAAUCGGAAAUGAAAAUGUUUGAUUUUUUUGUCUCUUAAUAUAUAUUUUUGAAUGAAGAGAAGCCAUGAUAAGCUUGAUAUUUUUGAAGGAAUGCAUGUUCUUGAUAUUUCUUUUAGGCAACCGACCAAUUGGUAGAGUAUCAUAUAUAACAGAUAGAUAAACAGAACUUGUAUCCCCAAAAAGAUAUCAUAGAGUAAGAAGGUAUAGUUUAGAAUAUGGAUCCCCAAUAUGGAAACAUGUAAGUUAGGUUGGGAAUCUAAUAGAAUCGAAAAGGACAUAAACCCAAUAUAUAGACUUGGUCAUUUCCAACGCAUCAUGCUAAAGUUCAUGUAUUCUGCACAUCUAGUGGUGACUGAUGAGUUGCUUCUAAUUCUCCAUCUCUGUCUUUCGGACUCUGGUUGAUGCCGAAUUGACGCUUGAAAAAGGCAAGUCCCGGGUGAAAUGUAUAGGUAGAAAUUAGUCAUUACCUGGGUGGGGUUUGUGCAUUUCUACCCAUUUCGCAUCCGAUUGAGAUAGUUGGACGUUAAGAUUAAUACAUAUUUUGUUCUAAAAACUCAAGUUUAUAUGAAUCAUAUCGAUCUACACCAACAUUAUCUAUUCUUUAAGAAGAACAUAUAUAGAAACAAAGAUAUAUCUAGACUCGUGGAGACUCUUCCAUCCAUAUGGGUUAAAAUGGCCUAGCCUUGUUUAAUUAUAUUUAAGAGUUUAUUGAAAUUGAAUCUCAAGCACUGGCAUUUUUGGUGCUGAUUAGGGCUUCAAUAGCCUGUCUCAAUCUUGCACUUACUUACACACAUAACUACUGUCAAUAUUGCACCACUAUGUUUUGGUUUCGUACACUUCAUGCACACACAAUCUCACGUUACAUGAAUCAAGCUGGUCAAGCAGAUCCAUCACUCAUCAGUUCGGAUGUGGGUGGGUGGCACUUUCACGUCCUCGUUCCGUCUCAAGGGUUACAAAAGUCUCAUAUUUUCCCAACCUAAAACCAUUUUCUGGUUUCCUUAACAUGCAUGCAUGCAUGAUAUGGGAUUAUAUAGCUAUAAAUCUUUGAUUUUCCUUAGGAAUUACGUUAAAAAGACUCGUAACUCAACAGAAUAAUGCAAGGAUCUUCAAAUGCAGCAAGAAACACAGACCUAGUUGACUCCACUUUAAGUUGGGUCUCUUUUCUAUACCAAACUUCCACUUUAAGAAGCCGCCUAGCUUCCUGGUUUCUGGCAUUUGGGAUGAACCAAAUUGAUGUCUCUGUCAUGAUCUCAACACCGUUUCAAUUUUACCAAAACAUAUAAUCCUGAAUUUGUGAUAUAUUUACCGAUCACAUUAGUUACAUCUACAAACGAGUGUGCGUACGUAAGUAAAUUUUCCCCAAAUAGCAUGUAGCUAGCAACCCUGGGCUGACGUUUAUUCGUUGAUUAUUGAACGGUUUGAACCAUCAUCGUCUUAGAAUUUUCAGCACCCGAAAGCACUAUAUAUAGAUCCCAAACCUUACUUCUUUACAUUAUAGGCAGCUUGAUUCGAAAGAGAAACUUGUACAAUCAAAUCAUCGAGGUACAAUGGCCAGAGCAGUGCUCAAGUCACUUGCCAUUUUUGCCAUUCUUCUUGCUGCUUUCCUCCUGAGCGCUCAGUUUUCUUCACUAGAAGCUCGACCGCUGACUACUUCAAGAUCAUCAUCACGCAAUGGUGUCGUUGCUAGAGAGAGUACUGAAGACAACGCGAUGAAGAGUAGCAGUACUUCAGGAGGAAGUCGGCUGAGUGCUGGAGGACACAGAUUGGUGAACUUUCAGAGAUUAGCAACAGUAAGGAACUCAGGCCCUGGCCCUGGUGAAGGGCAUCACUAAGAAAGUUUUAUCAAGGACAACAUCCACUUGGGCAAGUCUGAUCGAUCUGUGUGUACCGGAUCAUACUUACUGGGAGAUUAUGUACCUUCAGUGUAACUACGAGUUCAGCUGCACUGAUUUAAGAACUUCUACCUAAAAACAGGCAUAUCUACUAGUUGAUCAGCAUUUUUAUCAUAGAUGUACGUAUUGCUAUGAUGAUGUAUUGAUUAUGUUCCUUGUAAACUUUCUAUUUUCUUGGCUACUCAAAGAAACCUAAUGUGGUGAUCAUAAUCAUCCACUCAACGUAGCAUUUUCUUGAAUCUUGAUCAAGUUCAAUUCACUUUUUUGUCUCUGGGUUUGAGUUAAUCUUUUAUACACAAAUGGAUAAAUGAUUACAAAAAUAAGCGAUUUUCCACCUUUGGUUAGGAGAGGAAUCAGUGGACCAUUUGGAUCCUUAAUUUAUCUUAACACCCAUGCCACAAGUCCCGUAAUGAAUGAAUAAAAGAAAAUUGUAAUUUUUUGAAAAUUGUUAUGUGCUUUCAGUAAAGUUCAAUAUAAUGGAUACCAGAGACUACUAUUCUAGGCACAUAGACGGGUCAAAUGUAAAGAUCAUAGCAAAACACAAUAUAUACUUCUCACGUUAUGCACUUGUGCACUUCUAGCUCGUAUCUUCACAUGCAUAAUGAACCGUCCUUAUCGUUUUGAUAUUGGCAGCAUGCCAGCAUCCCUCAUGGAGUCUUGACUCCAAGGCAGAAGAUAUGAAUAUAUUGGUAAACGACAAUAAACAAUUGCAUAUAUGAAAUCUAAAGGUUAAGCCUUCAUAUGAGAGAAAGAGAUGACGAUAAGCUACAUAUGAAGUUCUGUGUUUUCUUUUUCCAUAAAAAUACUAGGGUACAUCAAAUGUAAACCAGCUUCUUAAUUUUACUAUUUUAGUACCAGAUUAGUUUUUGAUGGUCAUAAACUAACUAGACAUCAAACCAAAACUAGUAUACGUAUGAAUGAAUUAAGUUGAUCUAUAUCUGCCAAGAUACACUAACACACUAACACAUAUUAAACUUUGAUUUUGCCCUUUGGGUCAAAGCUUGGAGGAGUGUUAGACCCAACUUUCUUGAAUUUGAGCCUAGACCCACACCCAAGAACCCGAGCUUGAGCCCAAACCCAAACUUGACUAGAAAUCUGGCUGAUUUUUGCCGCAAAUAUGGAUUCCGGCGGCUUCCAAGGGAUCAUCAUCUUCCUUAAUUCAGUUUUUCGCCCUUCACUAGCAGGGAUGCAUAGUUUCGUGCCAAAACUCUGCUUCACCACCAACGGUCUUGAUCUCGUUGACAUCAUCAUUAAAUUCAACCUGGCGAGAGCUCGAUCGAUAAGUUCCUUCUUCAGUAGAAACCAAAUCUUUGGUUGUCGCUUUCAACAAAUACAGUGGCCAAAAAGCCUCCAUCUUGCAACUCUCUUCAAAUUUGGUGGCUAGAAAGUCACCCUCGACAGAUCAGAUGGCCAAAAAGCUUUUACCCAACGUCAUUGUAUGAAUAGAGGCUGAGGAAAACCGGCUUGGUAUAGGUGACAAGCGCCUUGAAAUUUGUAACAAGCACCCUGGAAUAGGCGAUGAGCCCCUUGGUAUCGGCUUUGAACGCCAUGGUUGGAUGCCCAAGCCAUGAUGGCUAGGGUUUGGGGGAAAAUGCAGAGGUUGGGGAGAGUGAAUCGCAUGGAGGUUGCUAGGGCUAGGCACGGGCCGAAAUCGGCCACUAUUUUGGUGGGACCAAACCGGUUGAACUAACACUGGGCCGGGUCUUCACCUUAAAAUUUCUGGGAUCGGCCUUAGCUUGGACCGGCCAAAAACCAACUGGUCCCUCAAGUCUUGGGCCUUUGGUGCUUUACGUCUUUGAUUCUCUGUGAUGUAGGUACUCAACUCAGAAGAAGUGAAGACAUGCAUAUAUUUCUUUGAUUAUCAGUGAGUGUUGGAGAACUAGUAAAUACCAAAUGAUAAAAUCAAUUACUACUUAUGCGAUUUCCAAAUUCCAAACGAGUAAUUAGUUUAUGACUCAACUAUUCAAGAUUUCCAGUAAUGAAAAACAAAACAUAAUUGAGAUUCUCACUGAAACUACUCUUCAAUCUUAUCACUCUUUAAUCAAAUUUGGUUGGGAUUGAAGUUCGCCACCAGCGCCGCGUGCGGAUUUUUCCAGGUCAACAUCAUUACAAUCGUGAAGGUGAAAAGGAUGAGCCAUGGGCUCAUGUCCGAAGACAAAACAAAAGGAAGCUUUGGUUUGUGAUCCAAUCUUUGCUUCAGAUUUGGAAUCUAUGGUCUUUCGAUUGUGAUGGUUGAAUUUCUGGGCAAAACACAUAAACUCGGUGGCGACGGGCUGGUCGUCGAUCUCUCCUAAUCGGUUUGGUGGAAAGACAUUGUUGUUGUUGGUGGUGUUACGAUUGUGGUUGUUACCGCAGCGAUGAAGGGCGGGGAAGAUGGAUGAGGAGAUGAAGGAAAACAUAAAAAGUGAUAAAGUGAUAAUUAAAGAGUUGGUAGGCGUGUAGGAUAUGAAGAGUGAAGAAUAAAGAAUGAUAAGGUUAUGAAUGAUGACCUUAUAUAUAAUGGGCUCAAUGGCGACUAGUAGGCUUGAAAUACUAGCUUAUACAAGGCUUAAUGACAACACAAAUUAAUACCUCAGGCUUUCGAGCCGAACAAAUAAUUAGAAGUUAGGGACCGGGCCCGGACCGGUAUAGUAGUAGGACCGGCUUGAACAAUACAUUUCAUAUAAAGAACCUGGUAAAAAGCCUGGCUCGGUCCGGCUGGUUCGGGUUAGUUUGCCGGUUUUUUUUUUUUUCCUACGACGGGCUUUAUGCCCAGCCCUAGAGGCCGCAUCUCGCAAGAUGUUUUUCAAUUUUCAUCAUUAACCAUUUGCCAUUACUAGUUUGUUAUUUAUCUCUUAAAAGAACAAUUUUGAUAAUUUACGAACCUUAAAAAGCCCGGCCAUGAUGGUUUGCUUGAUUCCCUUGUUUUCUUAAACAUAAUGAGUCUUGCAUGUUAAAUUUAUGCAUGAGAAGGAUAGACUGUAUAGCUAGGAUAUACGACUUUUACUCAAGAGGGAGAGUAUCAUACACGUAAGGAAAACCAUGGUCUAGAGUACCUGAGAAUGACUUAGAUACUAGAGUUGUCAUCUAAAGAAACGAAAGAGUCUGUUAAUUGUCAUCUAAAGAAACAAUGAUGAUGGAACGUAAUGAGUCUGCUAAUUGCAUCAAAGCCUAAACAUGAUUGUUAGUGGUUGAUUCUGACACCCUAGGUUCCAUCAUCAUUGUUUGUCAACUUAUUUUCUUGUUUGUUUGUUUCUUUUGUUAUCCAAAAACCUAAAAAGCCACCUUUCUUACCUUGAUUGUCUCCGUAUUCGAUCUUAACUAGAUUAGUCGAGUUGGGAUUUAAAUUGGUUAUCAAUCUCUAGUUGGAACGACUCGUACUUACAUAAGCUAUACUACAACUGAUUCAUGCACUUGCGAGUUUUAAUUAAAAUCUCACAACAAUUUUUUUAUGCCGUUGUCGAGGAUCGAACUUGGGUCACCCGCGUGACAGGCGGGAAUACUUACCACUAAAAUUUUAAUUAAAACUUGCAAGUGCACGAAUCAGUUGUAGUAUAGCUUAUGUAAGUACGAGGUCGUUCCAACUAGAUAUUGAUAACUUAUUUAAAACCUAACUCAAUUAAUAUAAACUAAGAACACGAAAACAAUCAAGAUUUGAAUAUAUGGUUUUUAAAUUUUUCAAAUAAAGAAAGAAACAAACAAACACGAAAAUAAGUUGAUAAACAAAGAUGGUAGAACCUAGGGUAUCAUAAUUAACCACGACUAACAGUCCUGUUUAUAAUCUGAUGCAACUAAUGGAUUCUUUUGUUUCUCUUGAUGACAAUUCCCGAAUCUAAGUCCUUCUCAUGUACUCUAGACCAUGAUCUUUCUUAAGUGUAUGAUUCUCUCCAGGUACUGCAGAGGUCGUAUAUCUUAGUAUGCAGUCUAUACAGUUACAACAUAAAUUUAACAUGUAUGACUCAUUACGUUCAAGAAAAUAAGAGAAUUAUGCAAACCAUUACUUCAGUUAUGACUAUAAUGUAAUUCACAGCUCUUAAUCACAAAAAGCUAUAUUGAAUUAUAUUGCAGGUAUGCCUCAAAUUCAUCUUCUAAUUACUAUUUGCAAAGCCCUAAGAUGAUAAUCAAAGAACUUAAACAUAUAACAUCAAUUAAAAUAGUGAUGACUAAAAAUUCAUCAUAAAGAAACUAUAAAUUCAUUAAUCAAUCAUCAAAAACAUAAACAAUUAUGCUAGGGUAUCAUCCUAAACCUAUAAAAGAUUUAGCAAAACAUGACCAAGUAAACAUGAAAAAAGAUGGAAGGGAAGGAGGUGGAUAGAUGGAUGGAUUGUCUUUGCUCCUUUAGGCGUCUUCAAUGUGCUUUCGGACCUCCUCUUCAUGUGUAAAUUCAUGCUCCUUUAUAUAGCAAAGUUCUUGCUUAGCUUUGUCUUCUUAUUUCCUUGUAAGACUUGGAUUCAGACUCUUUUCUUGAUAUGGAAUGGGAAAACCUUGAAAUAUCUCUUGUAGAACUAGGAAUACAUGUACUAUUUGAAUCCUCAUCUGCAUCAUUGUCCUUGAAGCAUUAGGGUUGACGAUCUUGUGCCAUGGAACUUGAGUUCUCUACAAAUGCUUGCAAAUCCGAGCAGAUUUUUGAUGUGAUCUUUUUUUAUUCAAACGAUCAUAACUCAGUCUAAAAGUAUCGAAAUCGACAUCGAUCCGUAAAAUCCUACAGAAACUACACCUCCGUAGCUUUUCAAAGAUAUAAGGCUCAUAGUUUGAUUCGAUCUAAAUAAUUCCUAGUAAUUCAAUGAAUUUGGAUGUUCUGCUUAGGCAGAUUCUGGCACUUGGGAUUACAGUCGCCAUUCAGUUCUAGUUUCGACAUUUUAGCUCUUUUUCUUCUCUUUAUAACACAAACCUACAAAAAUACUAAAAUAACUUUAAUCAAUCCCAAAUACGAAGAUUAUGAGACAUAUAAAUAUAGAAUAACAGGAACACAUCAAUCCACCAGUAUGAAAUUGGUCUGGGUUGAAGUUAGGCCUCAUACGGGACCUACCUAGUCGGAUCAUGGUUUGAGUUAAGAAUCAACCCACCUCUUACCCCAGACCAAUUUCUCAUUGAGCUAGGCCCACAUCAAUCUCCACCAAUUUCAGCUUUGCAACUUGCACAUUACUGACAUCAUCUUGCACAUGGGGCUGACACAAAUCCUCAAAUGAGGUCUUUAAUAUGGGUCGUUCAGAUCAAGAUUUGACGGACCAUAUGAAAUGACAACGAACAUUUUCUAAAAAAAAUAAGGUGGUGCUAUUAACACACCCAUUUUUGUUAUUAACACACCCCCUAGAACCAAUCAUCAACCAAAUUCAAGUGACAAAUUUAUAAAUAAAAUAAAAAUAUGUGGAUAGAAAAAUUGAUAGGGUGCGUUAAUAGUAAUACCCAAAAAAUAAACAAAUCUAUAACCCGGGUUAAAAGUUGAUCCUCAUAAUGAUUUUGUUGUUGUAUUGUUGAACCAAAUACCAAUAACUGAUUUGAAUGAAUAAUAUAUUAACCCAGGUUGAAAAUUGGUCCAACCCACCCAGAAUAGGUGCAUUUGCUUUUAGAAGUCAUUAUAUCUAGUUUGAGAAAACUUGAACAAAAAGUCGGGUUUAGGGUUCUCUGCGAGGGUCUUUCUAGCAGCGGUCAAAUUGACCGAGUUGGCGGCGACGACUAGCUAGCCAAAUCGCGAGAGAGGAGCCAAAGAGCUUGACGGAAGACGUGGAUCCCUAUUUCUACCUUUAUAUAUGGGAGGUUGUUAGGAACGAGUAAGGCGGUGGUGAUACCAUAGCCGGCUAGCCAGGCUAGCUAUGGUCUAGGAGUCGGAGGCGGAGGAGGAGCCGAUUUCGGGUAUGCAUGGAUUUGGAGAUAGGAUUUGGUCACGGCUUACACUUAUUAUUGCAUUGAAGGUUUACUGUACGUUUCUGAAGAUGAAAACGGAAUUUUGAACAACGAACGAAGGUGUACUGUGAAAGUACAGUAUAUAAUAAUGAAGAGUACAAGCUACAGAGUGUAACUCAGCUAACUGACUAACCUACCUCAAUUCAAUCAUAUGGCACUUGCUAGUUGCUACGCACUUAAUUGGUCGAGCUUAAUGAGAGCACAUUGGCUGGAUUAGGUUGAAAUUUUGAUCUCGGGUUUGAGACCAGCUAAUUAUUAACUAAUUAUAUCAAAUGAGUUUAACUUAAUUAGGUUGACUCUCCAACACUCAUAUCCAACAUCCAUACACGAGUUCCAAAUUCCGAUAUAUAUUCAGUUCUAUUUGCUUGAUCACCAAAUCAUUAAUGCCCAGGGACGGCCAGACCCAGACAAAUCCAAUUCUUCGCUCAACCUCCUUUCUUAGUUCUUAGUUUCUUACCAAUAUUAAGUAGCUGCCCGAUCCACUAGAGAGAAUUUGGGGUACGUGAACCAGAUCAUCAUCGAUCAUUACUAUUCUGAUGAAUAUAAGCUGGGAUACAUAAAUUAGGGUUAAAAUCUCAACCGAACUUUCCAAGCUCGAAGCUAGCUGCUUCCAAAUCCAAACUCGAUCAGGGCCGCUUACAUGAUAGCCACAGCUACUGCAGCUCACUUUCAAUCCUUUAAGAAAGACCCAUGGUUGUAACUGUCAUGAUCUUCAUGGAAAAGCCAGUAGAAUAGACUCGGCCUACUUAAUCAAGAACGCCUCCAGAUUCCCGAUCAGUGAUUAUAAUACAACAAGUCCAUGACUAGGAUACAGUAUAAACUGAAUGGAUCCCAAUAAGUGAUUAGCUUUUUCUUAAUUAGGUUGAUUAGGGUUUGACUGGGAGACAUUAUUUAUAAGUGUGGGUUAUGAAAGUGAGAUGGGUCGGGGAAAAAGUUAGAUGGGUGCUCCAUAAAUUCUGCUAGGGCAUAAGUGUCUACUCUAUUCUAUAGGUUUGUUUAUUUUUGUAGCUUUGCUCAUCAUUAUCAUUCUUGUCUUGAGUAGGCAACUGAAAGCCUCCGCAGGACAAAUAAACAAAGAGAAGACAUUAAGCCCGACCGAACUGUCACAGGUUCUGGGUUCAGUUGUUCUCACCAAUAUCACUUCGCUGGGUUCGACGGUUUGAUAUGAUAUAUAAGAAUUACGAGAGGUCAUGCAUCUGCAGAGUACGUUACUAUUUUAGAAGUUUCAGUAAUUAAGUUUUUAAUUACUAACCCUGUUAAUGCCUUUAUAGAGUUAUAAUGAGGAAUAGUGAAUUUUUUCUAACCCUGUUAAUUACGGAUCCGCUUAACCAGUGAUGAUUACAUGAUCAUAUCAUUCUUUUGAAUGAAACCGAAGAACUGUCUGGAAAUGUAACCAGCGGUCUUCUACAACAUGCAAAUGGAAUACCUAAUUACAUAACGUGUUACUUACAUAAACGAAUAUGAUACGAUAUUCUUGAACCAGAAAAUAAGUACAAAAAGACCUUCUAAUACUCGAUCACUCUCUCAUAUGCAUAGUGACCACGAUGUUUUUUUUUUCCUUACUCAUUGAUAGCCAUCAUAGAUGGCAGAUGGUAUAAAUCAGCAUAUACAGUAUAUGUUAAUUACGGUCGUCAACGUUAUAUCAUUUUUUGGGAAUUCAUAUGGAAUAACACUAGGACAUAAUAAGACAAACAUAAUGGCUUGUUCUUCGGAGAGAAAAUUAGGUAUUCAUCCAGUUUUCUAUGUAAGAUCGAUGCGUUUUCUAUGAAUUUUUCCAAGAUCGAUUCGUAUAUAAUCGAAAAACUAAGAAAAGAUUAGGUCUCAAAUGGUAGCCAAAUAAAUUAGGGGUGUCAUGUUACUAAUGGUUAACUACCAGUCUACUACAACUCCCAAUGACUAUGGUUUUUUUUUUUCAUUCUCUAGCUUCAUUGAUUCUCCGGAUCGAUUUUGGUUGUCCAUAAGUAGCGAGGAGCUAUUAUCAUGAAUAAGACUGGCUUUGGUCCUCUUUUUUCUUUGCUGGUUUUGUUUCUGGUAAGCAUAGAAAUCUAGAAUUGAGAUCGAUCGACACACGUCUCUGUUUCUUCCAACUUCCAUUUUUUGCCAAGGACUCGAUCUUCUAACUUUCCUAGUACGUAGUGGGGUUCGAUCGCUUCUCAUAUGCGAAAAGUAAUUAGCAAUUUCAGAUGCGACGAACUUUCUCGUUACCUAAUGGCUCUAGGAAAAUAUUAUUGUUGGGUCAACUAGUCUGAGUUUGUGAGACGUGUACGUACUCAACCAGAUAUUAGAUUAGAACAUACAUACAUACGUAAGGAAACGGCUUGCAUUAUACUAUGGACGGCAAAAAUUUCUACCGUAAUAUAUUAAACUUAGUACGUAAACUACCUAUUUACUACUUUAAACUUGAAUUCAGGCCGCAGCUUAAUUACAUAUGCAUGUGGACAGGUGAUUCCUUUUCCACUAUUUUUGUAAAAUUUUACCUUCUAAUGGAUAACUACAACGAUUGUCACUAUUUUUUUUUUUACUAACUUAUUUACAAACACCGAGUAAAUACUUUUGGCUCUCUACCUAUCACAAAUAGGAAAGAAAUGCAUGGUAAGAUUUUGCAACGAUAGAAAUGCAUGGACCGAACGACUUUCAAAAUUUGUGGCAAUGUUUUAGUUCCUCACUUCCUCUUAUAGUUGUCAAGUACUGAUCUGUGAAAAUUUAAGACAAGUACUGAUCUUUUUUGUUUUUGUAUGAAGAACAUCUUUUCCUAAAAUUAGAAAUUGAGGAAUGUCUACAAUUUUAUUUGCUUCAAUAACUUAAGAAACCGAAUGUUUUUUUGUUCAUUCGGCCACCUUUUUAUCUAAAAAAGAAAAGGCCAAGGAAGCCAAUAAUGUAACUUUUACCCAACCAGGCUUUAGCUCCGGCGCCGCUCAUUCAUAUUCUAUCUCUGCUCCUAAAUGUCCCAGUGGCGUGUUUGAUUUUACGUCGAAAAGUCCCUUAAACCAACUUUCAAGUAGGGCGCGCGUAGGAUGCAUGGAUAUAUAGCUACGUACCUAACGGUCUCAUGCAUUUGAUUUGCAGAAUAAUAAAAAUGACAACUACAACGAUCUCAAUCAUCCAGCACCAAGUCCGCAGGUAUAUAUGACACUCUUCUUCCCCAUUCUCUCCAUCCAAACCCACAAACACACUCACCACCUUCAAGUUAACCUCUCAAACCCGACACAGAGAGCAUAAAUGGGUUCCGAAUCAUUGGUUCAUGUUUUCUUGGUUUCCUUCAUCGGCCAAGGCCAUGUGAACCCACUCCUCCGCCUCGGCAAGCGCCUCGCUGCCAAAGGCCUCCUCGUCACCUUCUGCACCGCCGAAUGUGUCGGCAAGGAAAUGCGCAAGUCCAACGGCAUCACCGACGAGCCCAAACCAGUUGGAGAUGGAUUCAUCCGCUUCGAAUUCUUCGAAGACAGAUGGGCCGAGGACGAGCCAAUGCGCCAGGACCUCGACUUGUACCUCCCGCAGCUCGAGCUGGUCGGAAAGGAAGUCAUUCCUGAAAUGAUCAAGAAAAACUCCGAGCAAGGCCGCCCUGUCUCGUGCCUCAUCAACAACCCCUUCAUCCCUUGGGUGUGUGACGUUGCAGAGAGUCUAGGGCUUCCUUCGGCCAUGCUUUGGGUUCAAUCCGCUGCUUGUCUCGCUGCCUACUAUCACUACUACCAUGGGUUGGUCCCCUUUCCUUCAGAAUCGGACAUGUUUUGCGACGUUCAGAUUCCAUCUAUGCCGCUGUUGAAGUACGAUGAGGUACCCAGCUUCUUGUACCCUACUAGUCCUUACCCGUUUUUGAGGAGGGCCAUUUUGGGACAAUACGGGAACUUGGAGAAGCCCUUCUGUAUAUUGAUGGACACUUUCCAAGAACUCGAGAGCGAGAUCAUCGAGUACAUGGCUUGUUUGUGCCCGAUCAAGGCUGUUGGUCCUCUCUUCAAGAACCCGAAAGCCCAAAACGCUGUCCGCGGCGACUUCAUGAAGGCCGACGACUCCAUCAUCGGCUGGCUCGACACCAAGCCUAAAUCAUCUGUCGUGUAUAUUUCAUUCGGAAGUGUGGUUUACUUGAAGCAGGAGCAAGUGGAUGAGAUUGCUCACGGGUUGUUGAGCUCCGGAGUUUCUUUCAUAUGGGUGAUGAAGCCCCCACACCCUGAUUCCGGCUUUGAACUUCUGGUUCUGCCGGAAGGGUUUUUGGAGAAGGCAGGAGACAGAGGCAAAGUUGUGCAAUGGAGUCCACAAGAGAAGAUUUUGGAGCAUCCUUCGACGGCUUGCUUUGUGACUCAUUGCGGGUGGAACUCAACCAUGGAGUCACUCACCUCAGGAAUGCCCGUGGUGGCAUUCCCACAAUGGGGUGACCAAGUGACCGACGCCAAGUAUUUGGUCGACGAGUUUAAGGUGGGAGUAAGAAUGUGCCGUGGAGAGGCCGAAGACAGGGUGAUCCCUAGGGAAGAGGUAGAGAAGUGCUUGCUGGAGGCGACCUCGGGGCCCAAGGCGGCGGAGAUGAAGCAAAACGCCUUGAAAUGGAAGGCUGCGGCUGAGGCGGCGUUUUCCGAGGGAGGGUCGUCGGACAGGAACCUCCAAGCCUUUGUGGACGAGGUUAGGAGGAUCAGUGCUUCCCUUAACAGUAAGUCAUCAGCUGUCGGUUAUGUCAAGUCAAAGAUCAAUGGAGUUGUUGAGUAUGUUGACUCAAAGCUGAAUGGAAAGGCUGCACCAGUAGAAGGGGCAAAGACAAGGACAAAUGGAAUCGCUAAGGUCGAAGAGCCUAAGGCAGCUAAUGGUAAGGUUGAAAUCGCUGAGUUGACGCCCAUCAAUGGAAAGGUUGAAAUCGCUGGGUUGAAGCCCAUCAAUGGAAAGGUUGAACUAGUCGAAUCGUAAAGGGGUGGUUUUAGCUAAUAUAUUUUACAGAAUUAGUAUGGAUUAUGGAAUAACUGAAAUACCAUCAGUUGUGGUAUGCGUUAUUUACAUCUUUUUUUUCUUUUUGAUCUUUUCAUUUUUAUAUAUUGUGGUCUAUAAGGCGUCUAGGGAUCAGACGCUUCUUCUUUAUAGUCUCAUUUUGUAUCUUGGAAUGUAACUCAUCAUCUAUUCUAAUUACUCUUCUUAUCUACCUAUCUGUUUCCUAGUCCGUUUUGUGCUCUUGUAAAAUUUGUCAAAUAGUCCUUGAAUUAUGCAAAGUGAGCAUCACUCGUAGCAUGCAUGCUCAUAUAUAUGCACCCUAGCUAGCUUCCACGAUCGAGGAGGUCAUUUGCCAAUAUCUGGAUCUAUGAAUUAUACAUAUAUCUAUGUCUAACUCUUUGUGUAUGUGUUGAGUGUGUCACGUUCACUUGUUGAUUGGGAGUUGAGGUUGUAUAUAGGUUUCAUUAAUAUCAAGAGAAAUCUGAUGGUUCAAGGCAGCUAACAGUCUUGACUUGCUCGAGAUACGGAUGAACCUAUCACGAAUAUAAGUUGCAACUAACGGUUGUCGGGUACGUAUAUAUAUAUAGAGCUCAAGCUAGCCAUGCAGUUGAUUUGUUAUAUAUAGGCUCGUUUAUAUACAGUUGCAGUAUCAAGUAUAUACAUCCAUAUAGCAUGAUAUAUAGAAUGAAGAAUGGAAUGGCUAGUCGAUCGAACUGUCAAAUAUCGUUUGUUUUAGCUAGUUUUGGAAGCCUUGCAGGUGGAAGGUUAAUUUGCUCGUCUAUUGUAUAUAACAAAUAACAAAUCCAGUGAUGCAGAAUGAAAGUAAUCAAUGGCGGACCUAGGAUUUUAAGUUGAGGUGGGCUGAAAUUUUUUUUUUUGAAGUUCUUUAUUUUUUUCUUCUUCUAUAUUUUACAUAUCACAUUUUAGAUUAGAAACAUAUUAAAUAAUCAUGUAGUUAACUGAUCAUUAAGAAAUCAAUAUUAUAACAUUUUAUAAAAAUUCGAUAACAAAAGUUAAAGAUAAAAAGAACAUACCUACUCAAAUUGAACCCUAUGCUCUUGAAUAGAAGCAAAAUCUAAUAAUUAAGCACACAAUCACCGCUCUAAUCACUACAGGAUAAAACCCUUUUAGAGACGAAAUUAUCUGUGGCAAACUAGAAUUUUGUCCCCAAAACCUCUAACGGAAGACGAAACGUAAUAUUGUCACUAAGGUUUUGUCUCACAGUUUAAAAAUAUAAAGACGACUUGAGCAAGUUAUUCGCGCAAAUAAAAAAGAAAAGAAAAGCAUUGCAGUUAGUGAUGAGAUAUCUUCGGAUCUUCCUUAACCGGUCCUGCUCUUUGACGACUCAAUCUGGAAUGCCGCCAGCCGCCACCUUCCUCUCCGUUGUUGCCUGAUCGUCAGUUGUCUCUUCUCUCCUCUCUCAUGCUCAUCAAUUAUAUGAUCUUGAUUGUAAAUUGGAAUUGUGCGAAUUUGAUUUGGGGGUUUCGUUUGGGUUUGUUUAGGUUGAUUUUGGUUUUCGUUUGGGAUUUUUCAGGGUUUUUGAUUACACUGUUUGUCUGGUACAAGACAACACUGUUUGCGGUUCGUCGAUGCAUCGUCGAGUUUCUUCCCUCCAAUUCGGUAAGUUCUUCUCUUAAAUCUUCCUCUGAACUUGCAUGAACUCUAAGUUUUCCUAGUUGAAGUUCUUGGCCGUAAUUUGUGUUUUCUUUCUGGAAAUUUAGGGAAGAUCGAUUGUUUGUAUUGUAUGGUGCUCCAAUUGGUUUCAAUAGAGAACUUGAGAGGUCAUAUGCAAUUUUGUAAUUUUAGGGUUUAUGAACCAAUAAUGAAACUGUGAUUUGAUUCCUGAUUUUUUUAGUCUAAGCCAAGGAUGAGGUUGUUCACACAAUUAUGAAAUUUGUGAAGACCAGAUAUGUUUCAGGUACCUAAACCUGCAAUGGCUUGAUCGAUGAAGCAGGCCAAGAAGGGAUGGUGAAUUUCAGCUCCAAUUGUUUUGAAAUUGUAAAUGUUCAAGUUGGAUUUCCUCUCUGUGAUUGUUCUUUGGCAGAACUUGACCUAAAGUUAAAGAUUAAUACUGAUUUCAGGUUUGGGAAAUAGCACAUCGUGCACAAACACUAUGCAUAACUACACAGGUUUGUUUCUCUUCUUAAGUUUGUUUCUCCUUAAUCGACAUCAUUUGUUUUUCACAUCCUAGCUUUAGAUAAAACCAAAGGGAUUUCUUUUGCCUUUGUUAAGACCUUGAAUUCUACUCGAGGACCACUUCUAAAUGCUAUUGAAAUAAGUAUAUGCAUGUCGAUUGCUGCAUAGGUAAGAUUGUAAGUUGAUAUUCUGCAGGUUUGGCUUCUUGCUGGUAUUCCUAAGAACGACAAUUUUCAGUACACGUACUUCAUUAUAAAAUAAAUAGCUUUGACAGUUCUUCUAAAAAGUUUUGGAUUGGACUCGUGUUUGCGCCCUGAUAGAUAUGCACUUGAGAAAGGCGAUCUAUCCAUGCCUANNNNNNNNNNNNNNNNNNNNNNNNNNNNNNNNNNNNNNNNNNNNNNNNNNNNNNNNNNNNNNNNNNNNNNNNNNNNNNNNNNNNNNNNNNNNNNNNNNNNNNNNNNNNNNNNNNNNNNNNNNNNNNNNNNNNNNNNNNNNNNNNNNNNNNNNNNCUAUAUAUAUAUAUAUAUAUAUACACACACACACACACACACACACAUAUUAUUACCAUUAGUCAUCUACAAUAAAGUAAGCAAACAAUUGAGAUUAGAAUUAGAAUAUCAAUAGAAUUACAAUGCGAUAUGGGAUGAUAGGAUAUUGAGACUGUCAAGACAUUAAUCAAUUGAGAUUUGAGAACCAGGUCAUAUGACACGUACAAGACUCCAAGAGGAUAACCGAUAUAACUAAUAAUCAUACAUGCAAAUUGUCAGGACCCACCCCGAAUUUCACCCUGAAACCCGAAGUAAAUCCUGUGGAGACCACUCCCAAGGAAAGAUUUACCGAAAAAUUGGCAAAACCUCCCUUGAAAAUGGACAACCCUUACCUGAAAAGAAAUUUCAAAUUACACUCCUACUAACACACAUCCAACCUUAACUCCUAGAGCCAUCCGCUCCCCGCAAACCCAACCAUCCCAACAUCAACAAAACAACAUCAUCCAACCAUCACAUAAAAAUCCCGCUAGAACAGUAAAAUCUUAUCCUUCAAAUAUUCUAAACAUAACACGACAGACCGAGCACACUACCGAAAUAAUUUACAUUAAUCCCAAGCAUUCAGAGCUCCUAGACACUAGCGGAAGCAAGAAAACACGGGUAGGUUAAAAAGGUAACCUACUGGUGAAAGGUAGUGGAAAUGCGGGUGACUAUGCCUCGCCUCCUACUAGAUCGAACCCGAACUCUGCAGACUGGGCAUUUUAAAACGAAGAGGCCAGGGGAAAACAUUUAAUAACGUUAGAGUGAGUGGACAAAAAUAAAUUAAUAAAUAAAAUAUUUAUGUUUCCCUAAAUCAAUUUCCAAGGAAAAAUCUAAUGCAUGCUGCAAGCGAUAAAACUUUUAUCUCAUAAACUAUCGAGCCUCUCAGGCUCUAUAAUAUAUGUAUAUAUUUACACACGUCCAUACUUCCUAUAUAAAUUCAUGGGUUUAUAUAGGGUUACUACGCUCGCAUCCAACGCUCACGUCACACCUUAAUGCGGUGUUACACUAUGCCAUUAAGGUGGACAGACGGUGUAUAAAUAUGUGUCCAUACCCCCUAUAUGAAUUAAAUACUCAUAUAAGGCUACUACGCUCGCGUCUAACGCUAACGUCACACCAUGAUGCGGCUAUAUGCAACGUCAUUAAGGUGGACAGACACAUAAGGCUCGCUAGCUUUUAUAUACAUACUCUCUUAUAAAUACAUAUUUAUAUCUACCGAAAAUCCCAUUUUCGGUAACUCUCCAAGAGAAAUAAAAAUCGUCAAAUAAAAAUAACGUCAAAAUAAUCCGCAACAUUUAUUGUUCAUCCAUGAACUAUAGCAUGCAUUUUAUUUAAAACAAAAGUCCACUCACUGAUUUAGGCUCAAACUUCCUAAUAUAAUGCCCGGAAUGCUCCUCGAGCGUUGCCCCUAAACAGAACCUUAACCUGGAAUUGAAGUCAUAAUCAAAUUCCAUCCUUUUAACACAUCAACCAAAUUUAUUUCCAAAAUUUACUAAGGGCACCCAAAAGGGUUUCCAUAAAUAGAAGCUUCCAAAAAGGAAAGUUUCCUAGAAUAGAAACUUUCCUAACUUAACAAGUUUUCCAAUAAUAAUAACCCGAACUUUCCUUUUUAGGCACUACGACUUAAAAUAGAAAGGUUGCUCAAAAACUACCUUCUCGACUCUUUGCCGGAUCUACUGCUUCGCCGGAACCCUUACCGGAAAACCUCACCGGAUUCCGGCCACUUGCCGGAAAAUUGGCCAUGGCCUCCCUGCAUCUUCUAAUCUCCAAGUUAUCGACAAUCAUGCAGAAAAUAAACAAUUCAAACACCAACCAACCGAAACCACACAACAACAACAACACCGAAGUUCAAGACUUAACACUCACCUUGCUAUAAUCCUCGCCGAAACCAUGUUCACUGACAGCCCAAAACCGCAGUCAUGAUCGGAAGACACUCAAUCAAACACCCAAAACCACUGCCUCCUUCCGAAACAGUAACAACUUCCUCCAAACUUUUUCCAAAGCGCGUUGGGGCUCCCACCAACCACAACUAGGCUCGCCUGAGCUCGACGGACACACUGAAACUCAAGAACAAAAGCCCUUGUCGAAGACCGAACCUCAAACCCAGAAAACAGAGAAAGAGGGAAAUCUGAUUAGGGCUCUAUAUUCGGAAAUCGAAGCUCAAGGAAGACCGAAAAACUAGAGGGAAGUGAUGAGUAUACCUUCACGAAUCACAAGCUCACCGGAAAAGAAAAGAUUCGGCCGGAAUUUGGGUUUUGGGGAUUUAGGGUGCUUGUUUAGAUCAGACGGGAUAGAUGAUGCCUCGCAAGUUGAUGGGUAGCAGUAGAGAGAGGAGAGAGAGACAAGUCCAUUGGGGGUGGU